rnacentral:lncRNA from 1 species
AACCGGCAUUUAAAAGAUUUUCAAUUUCAUUUUUAAUUUGAAGUACAAUACUCGGCUCAAACCUAUGAGCCGGUUGUUUGUAACCCCUUUUUAAUAGGUAGCCUAUGUUCUACAAUUUUUCGACUUAAACCUGGCAUUUCUUCAUAGCUCCAGGCGAAGCAGUCGUUGUACUCCAAAAGCAAUACUUUCAGCUCCUCCUGUUGUUGAGCCGAAAGCCUGGCACUAAUAUAAGUCGAUCGCUUGUCUUCAUCAGAUCCUAAGUUUACCUCAAUUAGUGGAUCCUAAGUUUCCAAUUUCUUCUCACCGACUUUGAUAGAUGACUCUUCUAAGUUCAAUUCAGUUGUUCGCCUCCUUAAUUCAUCUGAUAUUUCUUUAUCGGCCUUAACCGCCGAUCUCACCAUAUUUUUCGUAUCGGCUUUAACAGCCAAUUUUACCACAUCAUCAUUACGGUCAUUUCAACCGCCUUCCUAACUUUUUUGUUAUUGGCCUAUUUGGCGGAAUCAUUUCAUAAUCGAUCUCGUUGGUCGGCUCCCUCAGCCGAAGCUUCUCUAAAGCUUCGGUUUCUAAUCUUUGAUGUUCCAUUUCAACCAAUUUGGUGGCUCCUCGGCUGCCACCAUAGCUUCAUAUUUAGAGAAAAUCAACUGUACUCCCUCUUCAGUAACUCUCACAAAAGAGUCUGGAUCAGCAUUGGCCCAAUUGAUGUGGCCGAUUUCUCCCGCGUUGAUGUCCACCAUUUGGGGCCGCCCUUCGGCCCGGAUUUCUUCGACUUUUUCUCCAAUCCACUGGAAUAGUUUUCCGUGGAGUGUGGAAGGUACGAACUCGUUUGCGUGGAUCCAAUCACGCCCAAGUAGUAGGUUGUAAUGACUAUCUACAUCUGCCACAAAAAAUACAGUUCGUAGAGUUUUAGAACCUACCGUAAUCUCGGUCGUGAGCACCCUUCGAGCUUGUUGACCGCUUCCAAUAAAGUCUGUCCUAAUUGUAUCGGCGGGCUUCAAUUCGUUCUCGCCCUUGCCUAACUUUCUGACCAUUUGGGGUUACCCUUCGACCCGGAUUUCUUCGAUUUUUUCUCCAAUCCACUGGAAUAGUUUUUCGUGGAGUAUGGAAGGUACGCACUCGUUUACGUGGAUCCAAUCACGUCCAAGUAGUAGGUUGUAAUGACUAUCUGCAUCUAUCACAAAAAAUGCAGUUCGUAGAGUUUCAGAACCUACCGUAAUCUCAGUCGUGAGCACCCUUCGAGCUUGUUGACCGCUUCCAGUGAAGUCAUAAUUGUAUCAGUGGGCUUCAAUUCGUCCUCGCCCUUGCCUAACUUUCUGAAGAACGAAGUGGGCAUGACGUUGACCAUUGCUCCACCGUCCACCAUGACUCGGCCUACUGGCUGACCUUCGAUCAAGGCCCGAAUGAACAGCGGCCUCACAAAUCUUGUCUGCAUGGCCGAAAGUUUUUCGAAAACCACCGCAUCGGCCGGUUUGGCAUCCUCUAAUUGUAAUUAAGCCACAAUGAGCCCAACUUCUUCAUCAACUAUCUCCUCGUCAUAUUCAAUAUACUCUGCUUUGAAAGAUUGUGGCAGAGUAUAUACUAUAUUGACAUCGGCUAGUCCUUCGUCAGCCGAUUUCGAUUGUAUUCUUUGUUUUUUUUCUUCAGACUCCUUAGCCGUCUCGGCUGAGGAGUCACUCUCCAUCCGUGCCACCCUUUCCUUAGGAAGUCAUCUCUCUCUCUUGAUUAUUGUCUCGAUGGAGGCUAUUUUGUCCUCUAACUCCCUCCUAGUCAUCUUCUCCUCUGGUUCGGCCGUGGUUGGCCGUUCUAUCUUCUAUUUUAACCAAGGGACGGGCGAUGAACCACCCGCCUCAUGAACGUUUCGCAUCGGCCAAAAAGGGUGUGGUGGCUCAUUAGGUCGUCUCCACACGUUCAGCCUCAUCCCUUUCGCCUCCUCAUAAUGUUGUCUCGCCUCAGCUUGCAUCCUCUGCUGCCGGCGCUUUUGUGUUUUUGUUAACAUCGGCCCUUGCCAUUUGGCCAAUGGUUUGAUUUCAACUUCAUGCCACUGAUCUACCGGCACAUUUGCCGGUACUUUCACAGUUCUCAAAUGAUUCUUUAAAAUUUCCUUUCUUUCCCAAGGUCUCGGCCAGGGCUAUAUACCGAGCUCAUUGACUAAUCUCCGACCAAGGAACUCUAUGUCUCCUUCGGUCAUUCCUUCGAAUUCUGGUUCUAGUCUCGGCCUGGCUUGAUGUUGCCAGUGCGGCCGGUACCCAGGAAAUCUCUGCUUUGAACCAAAUAAUUUUUCUGGAUAACUCCAUCGGCUGUGAUGUUCCUUUCUUCUACUAUUGUAAUAAUCGCNGGUUCUAGUCUCGGCCUGGCUUGAUGCUGCCAGUGCGGCCGGUACCCAGGAAAUCUCUGCUUUGAACCAAAUAAUUUUUCUGGAUAACUCCAUCGGCUGUGAUGUUCCUUUCUUCUACUAUUGUAAUAAUCGCGCAGGACUUUAUGCAUCAAUAAGUCCUUCUUGUUUUGAACCGAAUCAAUUUCCGGUUCAGACUCAUUGGAGGCUUCGUCUGAGCCAUCCUCCGACUUGUCAUCUUCUUCAGGAAUCUCUUCCCAUUCCUCCGGAAAGGCCAUCAUCUUUUUCCAUUCGUUGCUUCUUUUCUUGUCGUUGAUGAUGACUUCCCAGUCCUUCUUUGUCAUCUCGGCUUUGCACCUUAUGCAAAGCCUAAGCGUCCUCUUGACAUAAGCAAUGUUUUUAGCGGUCUUCUUAUCUGCAACCGCUUUUCCUUUGGUGUCCACCAUAUUAACCUGCGAAGGAAAUGGAUUCUUGUCAAUUUUCAAAUUUUUAUUUUCUUGGUCGGCAAAUAUGAGCCGACCCUCAUUUAUCUCUUUUUGAAUCUGCCUCUUAAAGGCAGUGCACUCAUUUGUUUUAUGGCUCCAUGAAUGGUGCCAUUUGCAAUAUCUUCUUCUUUUUAAUUCUUCUACAGGAGGUAUAGUUUGACCCUCCUGCAGUUGAAUUCGGCCAUCUUUUAGCAACCGAUCAAAAUUAGAUUGAUCUUUGAUACAUCAAACGAAUAUGUAUAUGCUGAAAAGCGCGCUUUUGCCUCACUUGAUUUAGCAGGCUUUAGCAAGGCACAUUUAUAUGGCUGUCGGUUUUUAACCAUCUUGGCUGCAUAUAUUUUAGCUUCAUCAGCCGAAUGUUUAGCCUCUUCAGACGAAUUCGGCUCUUCAUGAGCCGAAGAUUCUUUAAGGAAAGAAAUGUUUUUCUCUUUCCAUUUGUUCCACUCUUUGUUUCGGCUCCAUCUGGGCCGAUCCUCAUUAUUUCCUCUUCGGAAUUGCUGAUAUUGAGCAACCCGAACUCCCAAAUCGAAAAGAUUUGGAAAGUACUUGUCUUCAAAAUGAUCUUUAAUUUUGAAAUGCAAGCCGUUAAAUGCCAUUUUGGCAAAUUUCGACUUUGGCAUUCUCACAAAAUAACGGCUCCUAGCAGUCUUGAAUCGGUUCAAAUAUUCUUCAACCGAUUCACCCGUCCUCUGUUUAAACUGAGCCAAAUCAGCAACCGAUAAUUUCGGUUCUGAUCUAUAAAAUUGUUCAUGGAACUUUCCUUCUAAUUCGUCCCAAUCUCGGACGGAAUUAGCCGACAGACUUGUAUAUCAAGUAAAAGCCGUUUUUGUCAAAGAAGUGUUGAAAAACCUCAAUUUCAAAAAAGGAUCUGCCGCAGCUUCUCGGCAUUGUGCCGUGAACCGUGCAACAUGUUCGACCGUAUUUUCGGUCUCAUCUCCAGAAAAUUUAUCAAAUUUCGAUAUUUUUCAGUUUGCCGGGUAUGGAUGCUCUGCAUCUAUAAUCGCAGGAUACUGUGAUCUAAACACAAGCCGCAUUGCCGGCCUUGCACCUACUCCGAAAGUAUUUUGGAUGGCUUCUUCUAUUUGCGCAUAUAUUUCAUUAUUGUUCCCUAAUACGGGAACUUGGGCUUGUGCUGGAUUCGGUCCUUGCGGUGGUCUGAAAUUUUGUGCUAUAGGAUUCACUCCCUAGAUAUUUGGGGCUUGCCCUUUAGCCCCUAUAUUUUGGGGUUGGUAUGCUACUACUGGUGGAGGAGGUGGUAACCCCCAUGCUAUCUCCGGUUGCUGACCGGCAUUCCCAACAGCCGGCCUAUAAGCCGCUUGAAAUGGUGUCCCCUGGUAUUGGGGUUGACCAUUUACCGGUGUUACAGGAUUUUGUAACACUGGCGUAAUUACAGGCCCUUGUAGGCCUGCUAUCGGUUGCUCAUUGCGAGUUAAUAAUUGCUCUAUUCGGACAAUAUUCUCGUUAGAGCCCGUAAUCGCGGCCAAUACUGCAUCUAGUCAUGCAGUGCUAGCAUGGCUAUUUUGGUCUAAAACUUGUAGAGCCCGUGUCAUUUGUCCGAGUGUCUGAGCCAAACUAGUCUCUUGCUGGUCAGAUUGACCACUAGUCUCACCCUCGGCAGGUAAGACUGCUUGGCGUUUUGCAGCAUUUUUCGAAUUACUGGGCUGAUCGCUCCCAGAACUUCUAGGAACGGCCCUAUUACGUAGAUUCAUGGCAUUAUCAUCAGCCAUUAUAUCAACAAAUAAUAAAAAUUACCUUAAAAAGUGUCCCACCGGGCGUGCCAAAAAUUAUUGCGUGCCGACUUCCCUGACCCUAAACCCGGUCAAAGAUCCUCCUCGAGGAGCGUGUCGAUAUGAAAACGGCUUCGGAUAGUGACCCUCGAAGUUUGCAUCCUUCAAUUGAUCAAGCGAUUCGGCUGACGAGGGAUCGAAUCAGCCGGGUUUGAAACCUCUGCAGUAAAUUCGGUUCGGCUGGAUAUGCCGAAUGUACGUACCAAACAAGAACUAAGGUCGGCCGAAGAGCCAAAUGACUAAAGAAUACAAGAAUUGGUCGGCUUGAAGAGCCGAAUGCCUUUAUAUUAAUUGGUGAAAAAUACAAGAUUUGAGUGUGUCGGAUGGCAUGCAGACUCGGUUGAUCUACUUAAUGAACUACUCCUAGGAAGAACAGUAAAUGCGGGGAACUAAAAGUUACAAGUAGACUACUCCUAAAAAAUGCGAGAAAAUGCGAGGAAAUAAGGGUGGUCUUUUAUUCACAGGAAAAAGACCCUUUUUUAGGGCAUUAUUGACCUAUUUAUAGAUCGCCCCUUGUGAUCAGUUAUUGCCUAUACAGGAUCGGCCACUAUUCCUGAUUCUCCAGACCACUUUCAGCCGAUCGGAACCACUUGCAACUGCUUGCGGUUACUGUAACUUCCUUUAAAUCGUGCGGUUUAAGAUCCUUCCGAUGCUCCCAGUGCAUUGCGAGUCAAUACAACUGAAUGGAGUACCGGUGUACCAUAUGUCCGCGCCUUAUUGGCUUAACAGGUGCAUCGGGAGUAGAAAAAAAAAAAAGAAUUACAGCAUAAUCGUAAGGCAUAACCGCAAGCGAUUUUGAGUAGAGAUGUCAACGAGUCGGAUUCGGGGCGGAUUUUUAAAAACCCGAAUCUAAACCCGACUCCAAAUCCGAGACCCGAAUCCAAACCCGAACCCGACGGAUUUUAAAAAUCCAUAUCCAAAUCCGAACCCGACCAAAAAUCCAAAACCCGAACCUAAACCCGAAAAUUUGAACCCGAAACAAUUAUUUUUUUUUUCAAUAUUUCAAAAUAUAUUAUAUUAAAUCUAAAUUUUUAAAAUACAAAUUCAAAUAUAACAUCAAAUUUAUAUAUAUAUGUUAUAUAAUACAAAAUAAAUUCGGGUUCGAGUUGGGUUUGGGUCGGGUACAGUCAAAAUCCACAUCCGAAUCCAUAUCCAUUUAGCAUCGGAUAUAUCAAUUUCAUUCGAGUUCGGAUUCGGAUAAAAUUUCGGAUAUCCAUAUCCAUUGACAUCCCUAGUUUUGAGCGGUUAUGAUCGGUUCGUAGUGGCCCAUAAAAAUAGGAGAGAGGCCGAUCGUGUACAUAACUGCACAAUAAUAAGCGGAAUAUAAAGAGGUGAGUAACGCCUUGUUAUGAGCCAAAUUCCUCCACCGUUGACCUGGUCAAAGGCCUUCAUAGGGAACCGUGCAGGAACUAGAUCCGGCUUCAGAUGGUGACAAGCUUGCGCCCUCCGACGGAUCAAACGAUUCGACUGAUGAGGGAUCGGAUCAGCCAAGUUCGAAAACCCUUACUAUAAAAACAAAUUUGGCUGAAUGAGCCGAAUAGAUGAAAUACACAGUAAUUGGUCGGCUGAAAGAGACGAAUGCCUUUAUAUAUUGGAAUUAAAUAUGCAAACUUGUACAAACGCUAGUGUGCCUUCGGGGCAUACAGACUCCGGGAAUCUUACUUAGAACUACUCCUACGAAAAGCAGUAAAUGCGGAAAAAGGAAAAGAUUACAAGUAGACUACUCCUACGAAAAGCAAUAGAAAAUGCAAAGGGGAUAAAAGUGGUCUUCUAUUCUUGGGAAAAAGACCUCUCUUUUGAGCGUUAUUUGCCUAUUUAUAGUCCGCCCUUACUGUUCAGUUAUUGCUUCAUGAUCGGCCACUUUUCUAUUUUUGCGGGCCACUUCAAGCCGAUCAAAAUCACACAUAACCGCUUGUAGUGAUACCUUGCGGUUAUUGCUAUUAAUUCGCUAAUACUCCUGGUGCACCAAAAACCCCCUUUAAUUCUGGCUUCUAAAGAUCUAGGCUGAACCUUGCACCGAUAUGCCACAUGGUGAUUUAUUAUUAGCCCUAACAAUUCCUCCCUCGGCAGCUUCCGAACAGACGAUUCGGUAGCUGACGUGAUCUUCUCCCGAGGUGCGAUUUUCGAAAUAGUCAUUUCGAAUUCCCUUGUAUGAUUUUCUUCUCAGCCGUCCUUUCUCCUUCGACGGUCAUGAUCUCCACAUUCCUUUUGUCUUAUCUGCAAUAUUAAUUAGGUCAUAUUAAUUGCUGCCAUCUCUUCAUCAUUAGAGCCAGCCUCGAAAAUCGAUUCGACAGCUUUUCUCUUCCUUAUUCUCCAAGCUUCUUCCCCUUUGCUUUGCUUUUCUUUGGCCUGAACCUUCAUCUUCUUCACCCCCAUCUUCAACCUUCUCAUCCUCGAUUUUUUAGGAUUUUUCUUCGUCGUUUCUUUUCUUUUCUUCUUAAAAAUGGCACCACUUCCGCCUCUUCCUUCUUCCUCAUCUAUUGAUUACACACUACUUCGACAAUUCGUCCUGUCAGACCCCACUCGAUUUCUUCUAGGGCCUUCCUUCACUGAUGAUCCUGCUCCUGAAGAUUCACCCUUCUCAGUUGAAGGCCUUCUUUUAAUGGCUAACGCCAUUCAUCUUUCUUCUUGGUAUACUUCGACAACUUCUAAGUCGUCUGGAAAAAAUCUUCGAACAUGGACAGGUGUUUCAGAUGCUUACCUAGCCUAGUUAAACCGUGUCGAGGUUGCGUAUGCUGACCUUUGGCGCGAAGUCAGAGUUUAUGAAGCUAUUCAACUUUCCAGAACUCCUCCUAUAACCGACAACCUCCUUUGGGUUGCGGUUCUUUGCUUCUGGUCCCUUAUUUCCAAUGUCUUUCUUUUCAGAGUUGGGCCUUUCACCCUUACUCUUCUAGAUGUGGCGGUGAUUGUGGGCUUACGCCGCCGCGGCAUUACCCUUUCGAUGGCCUAUAACCCUGAUGGUGUAGUUGAUUUUGAGGCCCACCUUGAUUUGGCUGACUUAGCUUAUACUAAAUUCAUUUGCUGAUUUGCUGGUCAAUCUACUACCCCUGUCUCUAAGAAGGAACAUACAGCUUUCCUUCUUCACUGGUUAUGUCGCAAUCUUUUCUACACUCGCUCGCAAAAGAUUAAUCGCAAUUUUGUUCCCAUCACCGUUGCUUUAGCCAACGGCGAAAAGUUAGCCUUAGGUACUUAUUUUCUUUCCUUUGUUUAUAGGGAGAUUUUUAAAUCCAUCAAAUCAUUGCCAUCAGGUGGCGUGGUUAUUACUUCAGGAUGUGGUGUUUUGUGGUUUCUGCAGAUGUGUCUGCAAAUUUAUUUUCCCUAUUUGUGCCGAACUCCUUUAGAUUUGGACUCGGCUACUCAGUUUGAUACUUUCGAUUUAGCUCUUGGUUGUCCUAAACCUUUAACUCCUGGUCAACCGAGUAAUUUUUCCCGCUACUUCAAAGUGUUUUAUGAGAAGGAUUUCCGCCUUCAUGUCCACCGAUCCUAGUUUGGGGAACGUACUACUGGUCCCUCAUGGCUCCUGAUUCGAUACGAGGCCAUUAAAAAUCAGUUAGCCUCUUCUCGAGCUAGUGAGUAUGCCGACGUGUGGUUUUCUAUCUUGGCCACCAGAGAUCUGCAUGUCGGCUUAAAGAACCGUUCUAAAUUGACGCCAAGCACAGAGGUUUAUUCUCCUCACUAUGUUGUAGCACACUGGACUUUUGCAAAUUGCGAGGUUCGAGUGUUCGAUUUGUAUUCCGAACUUUUCCACACUUGGUGGAGGGCCGUCGAUGGUAUACCGGCCUAAAAGUUCGAUCUCGAGAGUUUUGGCAGAGUCCUGAGAGUUUUUACUCUCGGGGACCGGUCCCUGAUAGGAGAGACCGGUCCCCCAGUAAUCAGUGCUGCACUGCCGGCGAGGCAACCGGUCCCUGGCUGUCGAGACCGGUCCCCGAGCGCGUCUGCGCGGGGAGAGACCGGUCCCGCGCAGGGAGAGACCGGUUCCCGAACGUUGGAUUUUCGGGGGCAGGCUUAGAGACCGGUCCCAGGUCCGGAAGACGGUUCCCUCUGGGCAAAAACUGCCCAGACGGCUGAUUGAAUUUGAAUUUUUGAGGGACUAAUGGAUUUUGUUGGCUUUUAAUGGCCUAUUUGGCCAUUUCACCCUCUUCUCUCCUCAUUUCUUCCCUUCCACCCUAUCUUAGAGAGAGAAGAAGAGAGGGAGAAGAAGAAGAAGAAGAAGAAGAGAGCAGAAGGAGCUUGCUUGGAGCUUGUGGAGGCAAUCAUCUUCUUCCCCAUUUUCUCACCUUGUGCUUCGAGCUGUGGUUGGAGCUUUGUGGAGAUCAAAACUUCAACCUACUAGGUUUUGAGCCUUAGAUGUGAAGCUCUCUUUGAGGGUUGGUACAGUAUCUCUACUUGAUACAUUUUUCUAGGUUUUACUAGAUGAACCCUAGAUUGGGAUUCAUAGGGUUAGAUUUGGGGCUUUUUGAUUUGAGGGCUUUGAAACCUUUUUGAUGGUUUGGAACCUUUAUAUAGGUUAGAUUGGAAGACCCCUACCUUCCAUUUGAAGAUUAAGAGAGGGUUUUUCACUGAGGUGAGUUUUUUUCCACCCUAGCUUGAGUUGGUUAAUGAUUGAACUUAGCGUCAUUCGUUUCGACUAGAUGACACUUGUUUUCAUACCUUUGGGUACUAGGAGUGUGGUGGACGCCUUCGUCGUGGCAAACGAAAGCUUUCGUUGACGACGGUGGUUUGGCUUCGUGGAAUGGGGCGAAUGGACCUUAUCUCUUUCUAUUUGUUGUAAAAUAUUUUUAAUUCAUUUCUAUGCCUAAAUGGAAUUUAUAUGAAUUUAGAGCACUUAAAAUCAUGCCUUGUGUAUAUAAAAUUUCACUAUAUAGUAGAGAUAUAUGAGUAGAAUGCAUGCAUAUGGGAAAAGUGUUUAUUUGCAAGUGGAAAAUACAUCACUUAUGAUGAUUAUGACUUGGAAUAUGUACUUUGGAACAUAGUUGCCAUGCUCUGACAUAGAGAAACAAGAGUGUCAUCAAGGGCCACUUGAAACUCAGCAAACUAUGAAACUGCACAUAGAGUAUAUUGAUAGGCCACUACUUAUCCGCUCAUUCCAUGUUAGAGACAUGAUGACAUAGGGAUAAGCCGUUGAGAUACUUGACACAUUCAUGUUAUUAGACAUGAGGACUUGGUACUUGCGACAGAUCGUUGCCGACUUGCCAAUUGUGCUCAUUCGCACAUGCUUGUGAGGGUCGCUCCCUACAAGCGGCACUCCGGAGAAAGCCAUCGCGAUUCAUAUUCGCCGUGCGGGAUUGGCGCCGAAGUGGAUUGCCGUGGGACAGGCUCAUUCUAGGUGGGGAUGAUGAACUACCACGGGGGCAUUAGGCUCGGACCGGCCAGACAGCCUACGGGUGAUUCAGGCCAUAGACAGUCUCGGUGGGUCUCUUCAGAUUUACUUUGAGUAAUAUUAUGACAUGGGACAGAUGAUGACUUAGUGUACUAACUUGGACAUUGACUAGAAUAGUAAACAACGGAACUUUACUAUUUCGCAUUGUGACAUUAUGAUAUUGGAGAUUUUACUUCAUGCAUAGUUGCUUCAUACUUAUGCUAAUUAUGCUAAGUAGAGAUAUCAUGUUGUAGUAAGUUACAUUUUUACUUACCUUUCGCUUUUCUACUUUUAUAGUCACUGACAUCUUUUGUAGCUUUGGGCCUCGUGGUGCAUUCACUGAAGUCAGUAAUUGCCCACUGGGAACUAUUUUUAAUAGUUCUCACGCCCCUGUUUUAUGGUUUACUUUUCAGAGCCUUCGGCACCGGCGGAGGCACGGGAUCGCGGCAAGGGGAUCGCUUAGCUAGCUAGCGAGGAGCGGUACUUUGCCUAGGUGGUUUACUUUUUCUUUUUGUAGUUGAGAGAGUAAGAGGUUUUUGUAUCCAUGUAUAGAGACCACCUAUGUAUCUACCUAUAGCACUUGUAUCUGGAAUUUUCUUGUAUCACUUUAUGUUUUAUUUAGUGGAUUUAUAGUUCUAUCCUUAUCCCUUGUUGUAGCAUUUAGACAUUUAUUAUGCUCUGAUACUCCUAGAUGUCUCUUAUUAUUGCUUUUAUUAUUAUUGUUUUAGAUGCCUCAUAUGUUUUAGACGUAUGGCGGGUCUGGGCACGUGCCGGGCGGGCUUCCGCUGGGUCCCAGGGCGUGACAUAUGUGGCGCAUCAAUUUGGUUUGGUUCAGGGAAUUCCGGCUCCAUCUAAACUCUUCACGGCCAAUACUGCUCGCGACCGUCCUCCUACAAAAAGCAACGCUUAAGCCGAUCGCAUUUUAGCACUGGAAAAUCGUCUUGGACGAUUUUUCAAGAUGGUGAGCUUUCAGCCCAAUCAUGCAAGAGUGCUAGACUUUCGUUUCACUCGGAGUUGGAACACCUUUUGCCAGCAACAUUUUUACAAUAUUAUGACCUCUCUUUUUGCCAAGAUUUUUCAUACAGAAGGUAUCUUAUCUUUUGAUUAAUUUGAAUCUUUUUCUUUUUCUUCUUCUUUCUUUUAACUCUUUGCAUUUAAUCCUGGUAUUUCAGGCAAUGAGCCUUUACCCAUUCCACAAGAAGAUGUAUAAGACGAAGACCCUACGAAUUCACCUCGUCCAUCUACGAUAAACUUUACUUUUGUUAUGCUUUCUCUUUUUCUUUGUAUGUAACUAUGUCAUCUGAUACAUAUUGUUUAAGCCGAUUCCUACCAUCCGACAAACGACUGAUGGACUCUAUACAAUUGACUCAGCCGCCGCCACAAAAGUGGCGUAAAACAGUUGCCAUCAGGAUCCGUUCUGCUUCUCCGUCUCAGCCACCAGUACCUGUCGAAGAAUCUCCGGCAAAAGAACCAAGUGUUGAUGUCCCAGUCGACAGGGAAAAAUCGACUCCCCCUAUUUUCGUCGCCCCGAUUUCUUCUGAGGUAACUCAGUCUAUUCAAAUUGAUUCCUCUUCUUCUCAUUCUUCAGCAGGGUCAUCUCCACUAUCUUCCGUCAAAUACACCUCAUCACAAAAAACUUCCCAUGCCCACUUCACUUCAUCCUUGGGCCGAGAAAUGUCUGAUAUUGGACGACAGGCUCGUCGAGAAGCUCGCCUGGAUAGAAAAUGAGAAGCAGAGCGAAAGUGAAUAGAAGCUGCGACGGGUAAACAGGAAAAGAAAAGAGAAAAAAUGAAGAAAACAUCUGCCUCACGGGAACUAGAGAAUGAAAAGAGAGACAGAGAAGAGAGUGAAAAAGCAAAAAUCCCGAAGAAAAGAAAUGAGGAAGGAAAAGAACAAGAAAAAGAAGGACAACAGAAGAAUGAUGAAAGAGAGGCGGAAAUAAGUACGGUUCCUCCUUCAAAUCCUCCAACCGAGGCCUCAACAUGGGUUCCUUUAUCGAUACCUAAAACAGAGGAUUUCAAUCAAGGAUUGCAUAAAGAAGUAUCAAAAACAUAAAACUACUUGCUAUUACAAGCAUUCAUCCUCAAGGCCCACAUAAUACAAUCCGAUUAUUACAAUUAAUUUAUUUACAAGUUUUCGUACAUCAUGUUCUUUUCAUUUCCCUCUACCCCUAGGCUAUGCCGACUCGGGGUACCGCUAUCUCUGGUCUCUGUGAAAGGCGCUAUCUACGGAGCUACGCCCUUACCUUGCGCCGCCGCGCUGCUCACGUGCAAACCUAUAACACCCCAAAACAACGUGGGGUAAGAACCAACUCCAUGGUUUCCAGUGGGUACGGCCACCCAAGGGAAGAGCUCGACCAAUAGGUCCAAGGAGGCACUGCAACUAACAGAUAUUAUGCAACUAAUAGAUAUUAUGCAUCGCAACAUGCAGUAUGAACAUUAUGCACCAACUAGUAGAUCUAUUGAUUCUACUCACAACUUUGCUAUCUUUAGCUCAAGUCAUCUAGCCUCUAAGGUUCUACUACAUUAGUUCACAAUUCAAGUUCCACUUGCUCAUAAGGUCAUUAUCGCUUUAUCUCUUGCCUUUAUCACUAGCUUAUAAGGUUUCCACUACCCUAUCCAAGCUAUCUACUCGACUCGGCCUCGAGUCAAUCGUUCGCAGACUACCGCGUGCUGGCUGCACCUCAGCCUACCGCCCUCCGUGACUUAGCCCCAUAGCGGCGAAAUCGUCGCACACGCUGAACGGGCUCAAGUCACCUGGCGGCCUAAUCCACAAUCGGCUUAAAUAUCUGGCGGUGAAAUCGUCGCACACGCCCAGCCAUGGUUCAAGCCUUCGGGUGGCGAAGACUGUACACACACCCAAUCCACCUUGUUAUCCAUCUCGGCAACGAAAUCGUCGCACACGCCCUAGCCUUGAUACAGAGGUCAGCACAAGUCCUCGGAUUCCGGAAUCCACUUCCACAGGUCAAGGAUCCAUAUUUAACCCUAUGCUGUUGACCUAUCUAGGUUCGACCCAGAACAUCCUAGUGGCCGCUGUCACUAUGCUCAACAACCUAGGUUUAAUGCCACUCUAGGUUUACUACAUGUCAUAACCUAGGUUCCAACACUCUAGGUUCUGUACCAUUCAUGUCUGACCUAUGUUUAUUAACAUUAGGUUCAAUGUCAUUCCUGUUCAACCUAUGUUCACGACACUAGGUUGGAUGCCACUCACCUAGAUCUAUUUAACUCUAGGUUCAUUCACAACCUAUAUUCUUUAACACUAGAUUAGAUGCCACUCAUGAUUCACCCUAGGUUCAACAACACUAGGUUCGAUGCCACUUGAUCUAUUCAACAUCCUAAAUGCCCAAUGUCGAGUUCUCUACUCACUCUAAAGUCAUCGAUCUAGUUCACAUGCAUAUCCUCACAAUGCUAAUCAUGCAUUCAUGCAAUUAUCUAGCAUUUACAUAUCAUGUUCAUUAUGCAUUCUAGUAUUUCUACAUUAUGUCAUUAACAUGCAUUCUUCUAGUAUUAACUACAUGCAUCAUCUAGCAUUUAUAUGCAUCAACAUGAAAUCACAUUUUACUUAGACAUAAAGACGACCUAGUCGCUUCGGUGAGCACAACCCACCUCGAUUCGCUCUCCGAUUGCUUGUCGACACUUCCAAUCGGCCUCUCGCGGCACUCGGCACCCGGUUUGGCCAGAUCUCGCCAACGCUCAACAACCAUGCGUCGCCUCAUAGAUCCGGGUAUUAAAGGUCUUCAGCUAGACGCCACGAUGCCCGGAAACCAUUUUCAUGAUUUAUGAAAGUCGCCUCGGCCCUACAGGCGGAAACGAAGCUGAAAACCCUUUUUUCGGCGAUAUCUUCUCGUAGGUUCGUCAGAUCGUCGAACCGACUUCGCUAACGCGUCGGAAAACCUAGCAAUUAGGUUUACGGUGUGUCAAUUGAGAUCAAACCCAACUAUUUCACAAAACCCCCUUUUUGGAUGCCCUAGAUGAUCACUAUUGCAAAUACUCCAAAUCGAUCUUCGAUUCAUGCAAUAAACAUCUAUCUAGCAUCAAUGGGUUCUACCAAAUCCAUUUCUAGAGCUUAAGAACAAAACCCUAAAAUUCUACCAUUGAAGAGCUCCAAGAAACUUACCUCUCUAAGCUUGUUCCAAGCACAAGAAGAAGAAAAUGAAGAUGGCUCUCCUCCUCCUUGCCUUUUUCUUCUUCCAUCCCUCCUCCUUGCUUUCUCUUUGAUGAGAGAGAGAGAGCUAUCCUAGAGAGAGAGAGAGCGUUAGGGUUGGGUUGAAGGAGAAAUGAGAGAAAGAGAGAGAGGCAACCCUCUCUUAACCCCCUCAUAUGUCCAAAUUGCAUAAAACCCCCUACACUUCUCACCUCUUGCACAGCCCUGCACUGGGCAGAUUCGGGCUACGGGGACCAGUCUCCCUACGGAGGGACCGGUCCCCGAGGGCAAAUCCUGCGGGCAGAGUCUGUCUGCCUAUUUUCACGCUUACGGGGACCGGUCCUCCCGCUGAGGGACCGGUCCCCGACAGCAAAACAUGUAGGCAGGCUCCUUCCUGCGAUUUCCCACGCAUACGGGGACCGGUCCUCCGGCUGAGGGAUCGGUCCCCGAGAGCAUAAUUCCUGCACUUACAGGAAUUCUCCAGCUUGCUCUCGGAGGCCUUCCUCAAUGCACUUUAGGCCUUCUCGAUGCCUUCGGCCUUUCCGAAGCGUCCCGAACUCACCUUCAAUCAAUUUAGAUCGAAGUUCCGGAUCUACACAUCGAGUUUUCAGGUCUUUACAAGAGUUUACUGGCUUCGAGUCCUAAUUCUAAUGAAGGAGAAGACCUUUCUGCCGUUAUAUCGGCUGACACUCAAUAAAAAUUGAAUGAGUGUUUAAAAUUGUAUAGUUAUGGUCUCCCUUCUUUGACUCGAAACAUAGAACAAUUCGAUCGGCUUGGAGUAUUGUUACUUGAUUUGGCAAACCAACCAGACCUUCCCCCUGCCGGUAAGUAUUUUGUGGAGACUUUGUCAUCUCAACUUUCUUCUUUUUUAUCUCGGCAACAGACUCUUUCUGCCGAGUUUCUAUCCCUAGAUCACUACUUCAAUCAGGUCAACCACUUCAAAAUGAAAAUUCCUGAAGUGGCGGCUCCGAUUACUGACUUGAGCCGAGAAGAUCAAACUUUAGAAAAUCAAGAUGCAGCCGAAUCGGCUUUAGCCUGAACUUCUGAGCGACGGACUCUCUUGCAAGACCAGCUGAAUGUCAAGAAGGAUAAAGGGGUGAAGCUUCAAGAUCGGCUUUCUCAAUUCUAUAAGCUGUAUCCCUUGAUGAAACGCAGGAGAAAAGCAGCUGAUGCUGUACAAGUAUAUUUAGAAACCGAAUGGAAUCAACUUAGAGAUUUAUUAUCUUGAUUCCAUUUUUAAUUCGGCUAUUGGCUGUAAUAUUUUAAUGUUCUUGACUCUAGCUCUAUUCAUCCCCCCAUAUAGAUGGGUAGUAUUCUUUAAAUAUUUUCCAUUAACUGGCUUAUCAUAUUCUGACCCAUCUAUAUUUUGUAAGUAAUAUGCAUUACCUCUUGUGACUUUGCUAACUUGAAAUGGUCCUUCCCAAUUUGGAGACCAUUUUCCGUACGCUCGGUCCUUUCGACCGAUUGGAAAUAUUAAUCUUAACACUAAAUCCCCAAUAGCAAAGGAUUUAGUCUUAACUUUUUUAUUAUACGCACUGCGUACUCGGCUCUGGUAAGCUUGUAAAUGGUCAAGUGCUAUCAGCCGAGUCUCAUUCAUUUCUUCUAGUCUUUCAGUCAUCAAAAUCUUAUAUUUACUUGCCGUUAGUUCCUUUUGUUUUUCUAUUCGUAAAGAAUGAGCUGUUAUCUCGGCUGUGUUGCGUGCCGAAUUCCCUGGUCCUUGACCUGGUCAAAGAUCCUCCUCGGGGAGCGUGUCGGAAUGAAAAACGGCUGUGGAUAGUAACCCUCGAAGUUUGCGCCCUUCGACUGGAUCAAGUGAUUCGGCUGACGAGGGAUCGGAUCAGCCAAGUUUGAAAACUCUCUUAAAGAUUUGGUUCGGCUGGAAUGAGCUGAAUGUACGGACCAACUACAGAUUUGACUCGGUAGAUGAGCCGAAUAGAAGAAACACACACCAGCUGGUCGGCUUGAAGAGCCGAAAGCCUUGGAAAUUAAGCUUGAGGAAAAAUACAAGGGUUCAGUGUGCCGAAUGGCAUACAGACUCGAUUGAUCUACUUAGGAACUACUCCUAGGAAAAAAUAGUAAAUACGGGAAAGUAAAAGUUACAAGUAGACUACUCCUAGAAAAUACAGAAAAUUACAAGGAAAUAAGGGCAGUCUUUUGUUCACAGGGAAAAGACCUCUUUUUAGGGCGUUAUUGGUUUAUUUAUAGAUCGCCCCUAUUGAUCAGUUAUUGCCUUUCCACGAUCGGCCACUAUUCCUGAUUCUUCGGACCACUUUCAACCGAUCGAAACCGCGUGCAACCGCUCGUGGUUGCUGUAACUUCCCUUGAUUUGUGCGGCAGUUUUGCUUAAAAAUCCUUCCGAUGCUCCCAGUGCACGUCAAGAUUAUUACUUUAAAUGGAAUAUCGGUGUACCACGUGUCCGCGCCUAAUUGGCUCAACAAUUGCCCCCUCGGCAGCUUCCAAAGUAACGCUUCGACAGCUGGCGUAAUCCGAGACGCGAUUAUUUUUCAAAUUCCUGGCACGGUUUUGUCUCAACCGUCCGUUUCUUUCUAUUGCUAAAAUCCCGCCAUCGCUUAACGCGAUCCGAGGCGUGGUUCUCGAUCCAAUCAGUUUCAAAUUCUCUGUACGAUUACGCCUCAGUAGCUGGCGUAAUCCGAGGCGCGAUCCUCGAUCCAAUUGAUUUCAAACCUUCUGUACGGUUUAGUUUCGGCCGUCCAUUUCUUUUCUACAGCCUCGAUCUCGCCGUUUAUUUUUGUCUUAUGUGCGGCAUUAAUUAGGUCAUCUUAAUUACCGCCAUCUAUUCAUCAUUAUAGCAGACCUCGGAACUCGCUUUGAUGCGACGAUUCGAUGCGACGACAAUCUUUUCUUCUUAGCCAAACUUCUCAUUCCCUUUUAUACUCAGACCUUGUCUCCUUCGCCUUUUUUUUGCUUCUCUUCGUCUUCUUCGCCCUCUUCUUCAUCUCUACUUUCCAGCCUGGCCUAUUUUCUUCUUCUUAUCGAUUCUUAGGGCUUCUUCUCCCUUCUUUAGCAAUGGCGCUGGUUCCAUCUCUUCCCUUUUCUUCGUCCUUAGAUUAUAACAUCUUUAGAAAACUCGCCAACUCAGACCCAUCUCGCUUCAUUUUAGAUCAUUCUUUUACAGACGAACCAACGCCUAGCGACUCCCCAUAUUCCAAUGAUGGCCUUCCAUUUUCAGCUAGAACUAUCCAGCUCUAAUCUUGGUAUUCAUCAGCUUCAACAGGCAAAAGUCUCCGAACCUGGCCAAGUGUUUCGGAUGCAUACCUGGCCUGGUUAGACCGGGUAGAAGUUACUUAUGGUGACUUUUGGCAGGAAGUCGGGAUCUAUGAAGCUAUUCGGCUAUCUCGGAAGCCUCCUGUAGCCGACAACCUUCUUUUGGCCUCUGCUCUCUGUUUCUGGUCCCCUGUCUCCAAUGUUUUUCUUUUCAAAGAGGACCUCUUACUCCGACUCUCUUAGAUGUACCUGGCAUUAUUGGUUUACGGCCUCAUGGAGUUACCUUCUCCAUGGCCUACAAUCCUGAUGACGUAUCUAACUUUGAGGUUCAUCUUGACCUCGCUGACUUGGCUUAUUCCAAGUUUCUCCGUAAAUUUGCAGGUGAAUCCCCUGCUCCUGUCACUAGGAAGGAACACACAGAGUUUCUCCUAUAUUGGUUGUGUCAUAAUCUCUUCUGUACUUGUUCGCAGAAGAUUAAUCGAGACUUUGUCCCAAUCGCCGUUGGUUUGACUAACGGCAAUAAAUUAGCUCUUGGGCCUUACUUUCUUGCUUUUGUUUAUAGGAAAAUUUUUGAUUCCAUCAAACCACUACCCUCUAGAGAUGGUGUAACGAUCAGUUCGGGUUGUGGUGUUUUCUGGUUUUUACAAAUGUUUUUGCAAAUUUAUUUUCCCAAUUUGUGCCGAAAUCCUUUGGAUACGGGUUCGGCUGCUCAUUUUGAUUCUUACGGGCUGGCUCUCGGCUGUCCUCCGCCACUAACUUCAGGCCACCGCUCUGAUUUUCUCUCUUAUUUUAAGAUGUUUUAUGAAUCUCGUCCUCAUUUUUCCAUUCAUUGGUCUUCAUUUGCUGACCGUGUCAUCGGCCCGCCUUGGCUUCUAGCAAGAUAUGAGGCCUUUCAAGGCGAACUUGCUUCUUCUCGUGCCGGCGAAUACUCAGAUGUUUGGUACUCUUUUUUGGCUACAAGGGAUUUGCACAUUGGUAUGAAAUCACGCUCGAAACUGUUGCCCAGUACUGAGGUUUAUUCUCCUCAGUUCGUAGCGCGUCAAUAUGGAUUUACCCAGACAGUCCCUGCUCCAGCCAAGUUCUUCACGACCAAUACUGCCAUUAAUCGACCCCCUACCAAGAGUGUAGCCGAAGCUGAUCGGAUCUCAGCUAUGGGGAAUCGCAUUCGCCGGUUUUUUAAAUUAGUAAGCUUUAGGCCGAAUUACACCAGGGUGGUAGGUUUCCGUUAUACGGUUACCUGGGAUCAUUUCGCCGAUCGCAUUUUUAGCUUAUCCGCGACACAGGCAUACCGUCAAAUCAUUCACCCAAUUGGUACAACUCUUACAUAUACCUAUUUUUCUUUUCUUUCUUAUAAAUUAAUUUCUGUUUACUUAUCUCCCAGAUAUAGCGGUACCCUCUUCGAUUGAUCCCGCUGCUCCAUUUGUCCCAAAAGAAGAACCGGAGGAUACUUCUGAUAUCCCGCCUCCUUCUUCUGUAAUACACUCUACUUUUCUUUUGAUUUUUCUUUUCUUAGUACAUCAAUGCUUACCUUUUCUUUAUUCACUCUUACUUGCAGUCGUUUUCAAUUUCUCCAUCGGUCCCAGCUUUAGAAAAAGGACCGAUUGAUCCUGAACAAACUACCCCUCCGCCGUUUCCAAAGCGGCGCAAGUCGGUCAUCAAGAGACCACGUUCGCAUUCCCAACAGGCCGAAGGCGCUUCUUCGGCUGAUGUUUUAGAGAAAAGGGCCGAAGAUAUACCUUCAGUUACGAUUCCAGAAGGAAGAGCCAAAGAAAUACCUUCGGCUGAUGUUCCGGAAGAAAGAACCGAAGUAGCACCUUUGGCUAGUGAACAAAGCUCUGUUUCUAACAAGCCGAUUAAGAUUGAGGUAAACCAAUUUAGUUACCUACACUCAAUCCUUUUGUUUCUUUAUCUAUUUAUCAUUUUCUCUUAACAAAACAGUCCUCUCCUGAAAGAGUCUAUUUUGCUCCUUCUUUGAAGACACAGAUGGAUAGGCAACUUCGCAGGGAGGCUCGCCCCAAAAAGAGACAAGAAAUAGAGAGAAAGAGGGCUGCUCAGGAAAUAAGCAAAACACUGCCGACAAGUGAUGCAGCACCACCUCUUUCCACUCCAAUGCCGACCACACAGGGGGAGAAUAUAAGUGCACCUUUAGAAGAGGGCUUUGAAGGAGUACGGACAGUGCCCCACUCGACCCAUAAAGCCUCGACAUCUGCUCUUGAAGACCCACUGCCUGCAAUUCUUCACUCUUUAUUAGUUUCGAGCCCCAAUUCCAAUGAAGGAGAUGAUUCGACUACAAUUGUGAUGUUGACAGACACUCGACAGAAAUUUGAUGAGUGUCUACAAUUAUAUAGUUAAGGUCACCCACCUUUGGCUCAGAACUCAGAACAGUUCGAUCGGUUAUUUGCCCUUUUGCUUGCUCUAGCCGAUCAAUCAGAUAUUUCUUCUGCUGCUAAGUGUUUUAUAGAGACAUUAUCGUCUCAACUUUCCUCUUUUUUAUCUCGACAACAAUCUUUAGGUGCCGAGCUUUUAUCUCUGGAUCAACAUUUUUCAUCAAAUUGAUCAUUUUAAGAAAACUAUCCCUGAAGUAGUGGAUCCUAUUACUGACGUAAGCCGAGAAGAUCAAGCUCUAGAAAACCAAGAAUCGGCUUUGCAACAGUAAAUUUCGGCUGUUAAGGAAGUGCUGGCUGCAGCCGAAUCAACUUUGGCUCAUACUUCUGAGCGUCGGCUCCAACUGCAGGAUCAAUUGAAGUUGAAGAAAAGCGAAGGGAUGAAACUUCAGGAACAACUUCCCAACUCUAUAAUGUGCAUCCCUUGAUGAAACGCAGGAGAAAAGCUGCCGAAACUGCUCAAGCCAACCUAAUAGUCGAAUGGAAUCAGCUAAGGGACUUAUUGUCUUGAUUCGGCUUGUAAUAUUUUAACUCUGAUUUUAUUCGCUUUCCCACAUGGAUAGAUAAUACCUCUUUAGAUAUUUUCCAUUGAUCAGUUUCUCAUUUUCCAACCCAUCUAUAUUCUUUAAGUAAUAUGCAUUUCCCUUUGUAAUUCUGCUAACUUGAAAUGGUCCUUCCUAAUUUUGAGACUAUUUUCCAUAUGCUCGGUCUUUUCGAUCGAUUGGAAAAAUUAACCUAAGAACCAAGUCACUAAUUGCAAAGGACUUAGGUCUUACCUUUUUAUUAUAUGCACCGCGUACUCGGCUUUGAUAAGCUUGCAAAUGGUUCAAUGCCAUCAACCGAGUUUCAUGAAUCUCUUCCAUCUCUUCAUUCAUCAACUUACUAUAUUGAUCAGCCGACAGUUCUUUCUGUUUCCCCACUCUUAACGAAGGAACUGUUAUUUCGAUUGGUAUCAUGGCUUCGUGGCCGUAUACUAAUUGAAACGGUGUCAUCCCCGUUGCCAUUUUUACUGAAGUUUGGAAUGCCCAUUGUAUUUCGGAUAGUUUUUCAUUCCAUUUCCUUGAAUAUUUUCCAAUAUGCCACUUCAUAAGAUUUAUAAUUACCUUAUUUGCUGUCUCGGCUUGUCCAUUGGCUUGGGCAUAAUAAGGUGACGAAUGGAGUAGCUUAAUCUUUCGAGAUUCAACGAACCGAACAAACUGUCCUCUUGUGAACAUUGUUCCUUGAUCAGUUGUAAUCGUAUCGGGAACUCCAAAACCAUGAAUUAUAGAAUCUUCAACAAAAUCAAUGAUUUCUUUUUGAGUGAUCAACCGAGCGGGUUUUACUUCUACCCACUUGGUAAAAUAAUUAACAGCCACUAUAAAAAACUUAUGACCAGCCGAAGAAUUCGGCUGAAUUUUUCCAAUUAAAUCCAUAUCCCAUCCUCGGAAAGGCCAAGAUUUAAUUAUCGCAUACAUCUCAGAGGCAGGAACCCUCUGUAUUGAGCCAUGGAAUUGACAAUCUCGACAACCUUUAGCAUAUUCUAUGCAAUCUUGAUGCAUAGUAGGCCAAUAAUAUCCUAAAUGCCGAAUGGUCCAUCUUAGUCUUUUUCCUGCUAAAUGGGCUCUACACAAACUUUCGUGUGUUUCUCCCAUCACUAAUAGAGCUUCUUCAGGCCCUAAGCACUUUAAUAAUACUUUUUCGGCUGUUCUCUUAUAAAGCUGUCCAUUUAAUAAACAAUAGCCGAGUGCUUUUCUUCGAAUAUUAUAAUCGGCCCUUUUAUUGGGGUCUUCUAAAUAUUCGAUUAUUGAUCUUCUCCAAUCUUCUUUCGCCUCUAUGGGGGCAAUAAUCGGCUCUUGAAGAUGAACCGAAGGUAACAAUCUGCGCUCUAUUUUUACCAGACUCUUCUUCGGCUCUUUAUACCCUGAAGCCGAUUGAGCUAAUUCAUUAGCCUUUUCAUUUUCCUCUCUUGCUAAGUGCUCAAACUCAACCUCUCCGAAACUACAAAGUAAUUCUAUCGUCUUUCUCAGGUAACUUUGCAAAUUUUGAUUUUCGCAUCGGUAUUCUCCGUUGACUUGUUUAAUCACUAACUGCGAAUCUCCGAUGACCUUGAGUGAGCGAACUCCCAAUUCUUGUAAGAUUUCAAGGCCAAUUAUUAAGGCCUCGUAUUCGGCUUGAUUAUUGGAACAGCCGAAAUCUAAUUCAAAAGCAAACUGAUAAGUAUAUCCUUCAGGAGACUGUAUAACUACUCCAGCUCCCGCGGAUUCGGCUGUUCUUGAGCCGUCAAAGUAAAGCAUCCAAGGUUGACAGCCGAUCAAAUUUUGCUUCGGCUCUUCAAUUUCGACACAUGGAUGAUCAGCUAGAAAAUCAGCUAUCGCUUGCCCUUUAACAGCUUUUGCUGGAACAUAAUUAAGAGAAAAUUCGGAUAAAGCCAGUAUCCACUUUCCGAUUCAACCCCUUAUCACUGGCUUAGAUAACAUAUACUUCACUAGGUCGGUUUUGCAUACUACCGACACUUCGGUUGGUAAAAUAUAAUAUCUUAAUUUUGUACAAGCAUAAUACAAGGCUAAACAUAAUUUUUCGAUUACCGAAUAUCGUUUUUCGGCAUCUAAUAAUUGCCUAUUUAAGUAAUAAAUGGCAUGUUCUUCUUUUUCUUCAUUCUCUUAGGCCAACAAGCAUCCUAAAUUUUCCUCUGCAGCCGAAAUAUAUAGUUUCAUCAGCUGUCCUUGCUUAAGAGGCAUAAGGACCGGAGGAUUUGAUAAAUAUUUCUUUAUAUUUUCAAAAGCUCCUCGUUGUUCCUCUGCCCAAAUAAAUUCUUCUUUAUUUUUAUGCCGAAGUAAUGGAGUAAAGACUCCUAUUCUACCGGCCAAAUUUGAUAUGAAUCGCCGCAAAUAAUUGAUUUUUCCCAAUAAACUCUGUAAUUCUUUUUUACUCUUUGGUGGCGGUAAUUCCAAUAUAGCUUUCGCCUUGUUUUUAUCAAUCUUGAUCCCUUUUUUGUGCACCAGGAAUCCCAGGAAAUUAUCUGGCGAAACUCCAAAAGCACAUUUCAUAUGACUCAUUUUCAAAUUAUACUUUCUCAUCCUUUCAAAAGCAAGCCUUAAAUUUUCCCAAUGUUCGGCUUGUGAUUCGAAUUUCACCACUAUAUCAUCGAUGUAGACCUCCAACAUUUUGCCGAUCAAAUCAUGAAAAAUAAAAUUCAUUGAUCUCUGAUAAGUAGCUACGGCAUUUUUUAAAUCGAAUGGCAUGACUACCAACUCAAAGGUCCCAAUAGACCCCGGGCAUCUGAAAGCCGUUUAGCUACAUCUUCUUCGGCAAUAAAAAUUUGAUUAUAAUCGGCAUGUCCGUCCAUAACGGACAGGAUUUCAUUACCGGCAGCCGAAUCUACUAACAUAUUGGCUAUUGGUAUUGGAUACUCAUCUUUAGGUGUAGCCAAGUUUAAGUUCCUAAAAUCAAUGCAAACCCUAAGUUUGCCAUUCUUUUUUCGUACUAGAACUAUAUUGGAUACCCAAUCAACAUAACGAGCCGCUCUAAUAAAACUGACCUUCAAAAGAUUUUCAAUUUCAUUCUUAAUUUGAAGUACAAUACUCGGCUCAAACCUACGAGCCGGCUGUUUGUAAGGUUUGUACCCUUUUUUAAUAGGUAGCCUAUGUUCUACAAUUUUUUGGCUUAAACCUGACAUUUCUUCAUAGCUCCAGGCGAAGCAGUCCUUGUACUCCAAAAGCAAUACUUUCAGCUCCUCCUGUUGUUGAGCUGAAGGCCUGGCACUAAUAUAAGUCGGUCGCUUAUCUUCGUCGGAUCCUAAGUUCAAAUUAGUGGAUCCUGAGUUUCCAAUUUCUUCUCAUCGACUUUGAUAGGCGAUUCUUCUAAGUUCAAUUCGGUUGUUCGCCUUCUUAAUUCAUCUGAUAUCUCUUUAUUGGCUUCUAGAACCGAUUUCACCAUAUCAUCAUCGGCCAUUUCGACCGUAUUGUUGCAUAUCACUUCAUCAACCUGAUGGGCCGAAUCACUCACAUAGUCGAUCUUGUUGAUCGACUCUUCUUGUCGAAGCUCUUCUAAAGCCUCGGUUCGUGAUUCUUGACAUUCCAUUUUAACCAGCUUGGUGGCUCUUCGGCUGCCACCAUAGCUCUUUCAUCUUUCGUGAGGAUCAGUUGUACUCCUUCUUCAGUUACCCUCACAAAGGAUAUCUGGUCCGGGUCAAUAUCAGCCCAAUUGAUGUGGCCGAUUCCUUCUGCAUUGAUGUCUACUAUUUGGCCGCCCUUCGGCCCGGAUUUCUUCAACUUUAUCUCCUAUCCAUUGGAAUAGCUUUCCAUGGAGUAUGGAAGGUACGCAUUCAUUUGCGUGAAUCCAAUCUCGCCCGAGUAGCGGGUUGUAAUGGCUAUCUGUAUCAACCAUAAAAAAUGCAGUUCGUAGAGUUUUAGAACCUACCGUAAUCUCGGUUGUAAGGACUCCUCGAGCUUGUUGACCGCUCCUGGUGAAGUCGGUCAUGAUUGUGUCGGUGGGCUUCAACUCGUCCUUGCCCUUGCCCUAUUUCCUGAAAAAUGAAGUGGGCAUAACGUUGACCAUUGCUCCACCAUCUAUCAUGACUUGGCCUACUGGCCGACCUUCUAUUAAGGCCCGUAUGAACAGAGGCCUCACAAAUCUUGUCUGCAUGGCCGAAGGUUUCUCGAAAACCACUGAAUUGGCCGGUUUGACAUCUUCUAGUUGCAAUUGAGCCACUGCGAGCCCAAUUUCUUCAUCCACAAUCUCCUCAUACUCAGUAUACUCUGCUUUAAAAUCUUCCUCCUUUCCCAGGGUUUCGGCCAGGGCUGUAUGCCGAGCUCGUUGACUAAUCUUCGACCAAGGAAUUCUAUGUCUCCCUCGGUCAUCCCUUCGAACUCCGGUUCUGGCCUCGGCCUGGCUUGUUGCUGCCAGUGUGGCCGAUACCCAGGAAAUCUCUAUUUUGAGCUGAAUGGUUUCUCUGGAUAACUCCAUCGGCUUUGAUGUACCUCUCUUCUGCUAUUGUAAUAAUCGAGCAGGACUUUCUGUAUCAAUAAAUCCUUCUUGUUUUGAACCGAAUCAACUUCUGGUUCAGAUUCAUUGGAGGCUUCGUCUGAGUCAUCCUCUGACUUGUCAUCUCCUUCAGGAAUUUCUUCCCCCUCCUCCGGAAAGGCCAUCAUCUCUCUCCAUUCAUUGCUCUUUUUCUUUUCGUUGAUGAUGACUUCCCAAUCUUUCUUUGUCAUUUCGGCUUUGCAUCUUAUACAGAGCCGAAGAGUUCUCUUUACGUAUGCGACAUGUUCAGCGGUCUUCUUGUCCGCGGUUGCCUUUCCCUUAACAUCCACCAUGUUAACCUGCGAUGGAAAAGGAUUUUUGUCAAUUUUCAUAUUUUUGUUUCCUUGGUCGGCAAAUAUGAGCCGACAUUCAUUUAUCUUUUUUUGAAUCUGCCUCUUGAAGGUAGUACAUUCAUUCAUUUUAUGACUCCAUGAAUGGUGCCAUUUACAAUAUUUUCUUCUUUUCAAUUCUUCUACAGGGGGUAUGGUCUGACCCUCAUGUAACUUAAUUCGUUCAUCUUUUAAUAACCGAUCAAAGAUUAGAUCGGUCUUUGAAACGUCAAACGAAUAAAUAUGUGCCGAAACGCGUGCUUUUGCCUCAUUUGAUUUAACAGGUUUCAGCAAAGCACAUUUGUAUGGUUGGCGGUUUCUAACCAUCUCGGCUGCAUAUAUUUCGGCUUCAUUAGCCGAGUCAUCAUUUUCUUCAGACGAAUUCGGCUCCUCAUGAGCCGAAGACUCUUCAAGGAAAGAAACAUUUUUCUCCUUCCCUUUAUUCCAGUCUUUGUUUCGGCUUCACCUGGACCAAUCCUCAUUAUUUUUCUUUCGGAAUUGCUCAUAUUGAGCAACCCGAACUCCCAAAUCAAAUAGAUUUGAAAAAUAUUUAUCUUCAAAGUGAUCCUUUAUUUUGAAGUGUAAGCCGUUGAAUGCCAUUUUGGCAAAUUCAGAUUCCGGCAUUCUCACAAAACAACGGCUCCUAGCCGUUUUAAAUCAGUUCAAAUAUUUUUCAACCGAUUCGCCUGUUCUCUGUUUGAAUUGAGCUAAAUCGACAACCGAUAAUUCCGGUUCUGUUCUAUAAAAUUGUUCAUGAAACUUUCCUUCUAAUUUGUCGCAAUCUCGGACGGAAUUAGCCGGUAGACUUGUAUACCAAGUGAAAACUGCCUUGGUUAAUGAAGUGUUAAAUAAUCUUAAUUUUAAAAAUGGAUCUGCCGCAGCCUCUCGGCAUUGUGCUGUAAACCGUGCAACAUGCUCGACCGUAUUUUCGGUCUCAUCUCCGAAAAACUUGUCAAACAUCGGCAUUUUUCAGUUUACCGGGUAAGGAUGUUCUGCAUCAAUGUUUGCCGGAUAAGGAGAUCUAAACACAGGCCGCAUUGCCGGCCUUGCGCCUACUCGAAAAGUAUUUCGGAUGGCUUCCUUAAUCUGUGCAUAUAUUUCAUUAUUGUUCCCUAAUACGGGAACUUGCGCUUGUGCUAUACUCGGUCCUUGUGGUAGACCGAAAUUUUGUACUACAGGAUUUACUCCUUAUAUAUUCGGAGCCUACCCCCUAGCCCCUACAUUUUGGGGUUGGUAUGCUGCUACUGGUGGAGGAGGUGGUAACCUCCAUGCUAUCUCUGGCUGUUGUCCGGCAUUAACAACAGCCGAUCUAUAAGCCACUUGAAAUGGUGCCCCCUGGUAUUAGGGCUGACCAUUUGCCGGUGUUAUAGGAUUUUGUAACACAGGCGUCAUCACAGACCCUUGCAAGCCUGUUGCUGGUUGCUCGUUUCGAGUCAACAAUUGCCCUAUUCGGGCAAUAUUCUCAUUCGAGGCUGUAAUUACGGCCAAUACUGCAUCUAAACGUGCAGUAUUUCUAUGACUAUUCUGGUCCAAAACUUAUAGGACCUGAGUCAUUUGUCCAAGCGCCUGAAACAAACUAGGCUCCUGUUGGUCUGAUUGACCACAGUCUCACCCUCAGCAGGUAAGACCGCUUGGCGUUCCCCAGCGUUAUCCGAAUUCCUGGGUUGUUGAUCGCUGAUCGCUCCCAAAACUUCUAGGAAUGACCCUAUUACGUAGGUUCAUGGAGUUAUCAUCAGCCAUUAUAUCUUGAUAAAUAAAAAAUUACUUUAAUCAGGUCCCACUGGGCGUGCCAAAAAUUAUUGGGUGCCGAAUUUCCUGGUUCUUGACCUGGUCAAAGAUCCUCCUCGGGGAGCGUGUCGAGAUGAGAAACGGCUGCGGAUAGUGACCCUUGAAGUUUGCGCCUUUCGACUGGAUCAAGCGAUUCGGCUGACGAGGGAUCGGAUCAGCCGAGUUCGAAAACUCUAUUAAAGAUUCGGUUCCGCUGGAAUGAGCCGAAUGUACGGACCAGUUACAGAUUUGACUCGGUAGAUGAGCCGAAUAGAAGAAACACACACCAGUUGGUCGGCUUGAAGAGCCGAAAGCCUUGGAAAUUAAGCUUGAGGAAAAAUACAAGGGUUCAGUGUGCCGGAUGGCAUACAGACUCGAUUGAUCUAUUUAGGAACUACUAGGGAAAAACAGUAAAUGCGGGAAAGUAAAAGUUACAAGUAGACUACUAGAAAAUGCAGGAAAUUGCAAGGAAAUAAGGGCGGUCUUUUGUUCACAGAAAAAAGACCUCUUUUUAGGGCGUUAUUGGUCUAUUUAUAGAUCACCCCUAUUGAUCAAUUAUUACCUUUCCACGAUCGGCCACUAUUCCUGAUUCUUCGGACCACUUUCAACCGAUCGGAACUGCGUGCAACCGCUCGCGGUUGCUGUAACUUCCCUUGAUUUGCACGGCAGUUUCGUUUAAAAAUCCUUCUGAUGCUCCCAGUGCACGUCAAGAUUGUUACUUUAAAUGGAAUAUCGGUAUACCACGUGUCCGCGCCUAAUUGGCUCAACAGGCUGAAAAUGAUGUACUAUAAAAUCUUCCACGAAAUCUAUAAUCUCCUUCUGAGUGACCAACCUAGCAGGUUUACUUCUACACACUUAGUGAAGAAAUCAACAGUAACUAUCAAAAACUUAUGACCAGCCGAGGAAUUCGGCUGAAUUUCUCCAAUUAAAUCCAUAGCCCAACCUCGGAAGGGCCAAGGUUUAAUUAUUGUAUACAUCUCGAAAGCAGGGAAUCUUUGCACAGAGCCAUGGAAUUGACAAUCCUGACAUCCUUUGGCGUAUUUUAUACAAUCUUGAUGCAUAGUCGGCCAAUAAUAUCCCAAGUGUCGAAUUGUCCAUCUCAAUCUUUUUUCUGCUAAAUGGGCUCCACACAAGAGCCUUCAUGAAUUUCUCCCAUAACCAACAAGGCUUCUUUAGACUCUAAAUAUUUUAAUAAUACUUCUUCGGCUGUUCUCUUAUAGAGUUGUCAAUUUAAUAGACAAUAGCCGAGAGCCCUAUUUCGAAUAUGAUAUUCGACCCGCAUAUUAGAGUCUUCUAAAUACUCAAUUAAAGGCUUUCUCCAGUCCUCCUGGAUUUCCACAAGAGCAAUUAUUGUCGGCUCUCGUAUAUGAACCGAUGGUAAUAAUCUUCACUCUACUUUCACUUGAUCUUGUCUCGGCUUUUUAUACCCUGAAGCUGAUUGAGCUAGUUCAUUAGCCUGUUUAUUCUCUUCUCUCGUCAGGUGUAUAAACUCAACUUUUCUGAAACUACAAAGUAAUUAUAUUGUUUUCUCCAAGUAAUUCAGCAAAUUUCGAUUUUCACAUCGGUAUUCUCUAUUUACUUGCUUGAUUACUAAUUGUGAAUCACCGAUGACUUUGAGUGAGCGUACUUCUAAAUUAAUCUUAUAAAAUUUCCAGGCUGAUUAUUAAAGCCUCAUACUCGGCUUGAUUAUUAGAACAAUUGAAAUCUAAUUCAAAAGCGAAUCGAUGCAUAUAUCCUUCAGGAGAUUGUAUAACCACCCCGACUCCUGAGUAUUCGGCUGUUUUUGAACCAUCAAAAUAAAGUGUCCAAGGCUAGCAGCCGACUAGACUUUUCCUCAGCUCUUCGAUCUUGACACAAAGAUGAUCGGCUAAGAAAUCAGCUAUUACUUGCCUCUAGACAGCUUUUGUUAUGACAUAAUUAAGAGAGAAUUCAGACAAAGCCAGCAUCCAUUGUCCAAUUCGCCCUCAUAGUACAGGCUUCGAUAACAUAUAUUUUACUAAGUAUGUUUUACAGAUCACUGACACUUCUAUCGGUAAAAUAUAAUAUCUCAAUUUUGUACAGGCAUAAUAUAAUGCAAGACACAAAUUUUCAUUUGCUGAAUAUCGUUUUUCGGCAUCCAACAAACGCCUGCUAAGGUAAUAGAUGGUUUGUUCUUCUUUUUCGUGAUUUUUCUGUACCAAUAAGCACCCUAAAUUUUCUUCUGCAGCCGAUAUGUACAACUUCAUUGGCUGGCCUUGCCUAGGAGGCAUAAGGACUGGAGGAUUCGCUAAAUACCUUUUUAUAUUUUCAAAUGCUUCUUGUUGUUCCUUUUUCCAACUAAAUUCUUCUUGAUUUUUAAGCCGAAGCAAUGUAGUGAACACUCAUAUUCUACCGGCUAAGUUUGAUAUAAAGUGUCGCAAAUAAUUAAUUUUUCCUAAUAGACUUUGUAACUCCUUUUUAUUUUUUGGUGGCGGCAAUUCCACUAUAGCUUUAACUUUAUUUUUAUCAAUUUCAAUCACUUUUUUGUGUACUAGAAAUUCAAAAAAAUGUCCUGCUGAAACUCCAAAAGCACACUUUAAAGGAUUCAUUUUCAAAUUAUAUUUUCUCAUUCUUUCAAAGGCAAGUUCUAAGUGUGCCCAAUGAUCAGCUUGUGAUUUUGAUUUUACAACGAUAUCGUCGAUGUAAACUUCCAACAUUUUGCCGAUCAAAUCAUGAAAAAUAAAAUUCAUUACUCUUUGGUAAGUAGCUCCAGCAUUUUUUAAGUCGAACGACAUAACUACCCAUUCGAAAGUCCCAAUAGACCCUGGGCAUCUAAAAGCCGUUUUAGCUAUAUUUUCUUUGGCAAUAAAGAUUUGAUUAUAACUUGCAUGCCGUCCAUAAAAGACAGGAUUUCAUGCCUGGCUGCCGAAUCCACUAGCAUAUCAACUAUUGGCAUUGGGUAUGCAUCUUUAAGCGUAGCUAUAUUCAAGUUCCUAAAAUCAAUGCAAACUCUAAGCUUGCCAUUCUUUUUCCGCACUAGAACUAUAUUAGACACCCAAUCCACAUAACGGACCGCUCUAAUAAAGCCGGCCUUUAAUAAGUUCUCGAUUUUAUUCUUAAUUUGGAGUACAAUACUCGGCUCAAAUUUAUGAGCCGGUUGUUUGUAAGGCCUAUAUCUCUUUUUAAUAUGGAGCCUAUGCUCUACAAUUUCUCGGCUCAAACCUGACAUCUUCUCAUAAUUCCAGGCGAAGCAGUCUUUGCAUUCUGUUAACAACUCGUUUAGCUUCUCCUGCUGUUGAGUCGAAAGUCUAAAACUGAUGUAAGUCGGCCGCUUAUCUUCAUUGGACCCCAAAUUUACUUCUAUCAAGGGAUCUUGGGUCUCCAACUUCUUGUCGCUGACCUUGAUAGGUAACUCCUCUAUCGAUUCCUUCAUAGUUUUUUGAGUUUUUGAGCCGUUUUCGUCGUUAGACUCGGUUGCUUUCCGAGUCAUAUAAUCUUUAUUCGGCUCAACUGUUGCAUUUGUUAAUUCAUUAGACAUUUCCUUAUCGGCCCCCAUGGCCGAUUUUGUAAUCAAGUUAUAUUCGGCCUGCUUGGGUGUUUUGAUGCAUGCCACUUUAUCGGCCUGAUCAGUCGAUUUACUCCAAUAGCCGACCUCCUUGGUCGGCUUAUUUAGCCGAAGCUUUUCUAAAGCUUCGGUUCCUGACUCUUGGCGUUCCAUUUCAACCAACUUGGUGGCUCUUUGGAUGCCACCAUGGCUUCCUCAUCUUUCAUGAGUAUUAAUUGAACUCCUUCAUCGGUCACCCGAAUAAAGGAAAUUUGAUCUAGAUUGGUCUCGGCCCAAUUGAUAUGGCUAAUUCCCUCUGAAUUAAUAUCCACCAUUUGAGGCCGCCCCUCGGCCCGAAUUUUCUCCACUUUGUCUCCUAUCCAUUGAAAUAGCUUCCCGUGGAGUGUCGAAGGUACACACUCGUUUGUGUGAAUCCAAUCAUGCCUAAGCAACAAGUUGUAGUGGCUAUCUGCAUCCACCACAGAAAAGGCUGUUUAGGUUUUAGAUCCUACCGUAAGUUCGGUUGUGAGCAUUCCUUUGGCCUGUUGACCGCUACCAGUGAAGUCGGUCAUCAUUGUGUCGGUAGGCUUUAAUUCAUCUUUACUUUUGCCCAAUUUUUUUAAUUGCCCAAUUUUUUUAAAAAAAUUGGGCAUGACAUUGACCAUUGCUCUGCCGUGCACCAUUACUCGGCCUACUGGCUGACCUUCUAUCAAGGCCCUUAUGAACAGGAGUCUCACAAAUCUUGUCUGCAUUGUCGAUAGUUUUUUGAAAAACCACAGAAUCGACUGCCUUGGCGUCUUCUAGCUGAAGUAUAGCCACCGUGAGCUCAUCUUCCUCAUAUAUUGCUUCUUCAUAUUCGAUUGACUCUACCUUAAAUGAUUGAGGCAGAGUAUAUACCAUAUUCACAUCGGCUGGACGUUCAUUAUCCGAUUUUUAUUGUAUCUUUUGUUUCUUUUCUUCCGAUCCCCUUGCCAUCUCGGCUGAGGAAUCACUUUCCAUGCAUCCCUCUCUUUCCUUAGGAGGCCAUCUAUCGUGCUUGAUUAUGGUCUCCAAAGAGGCUAUUUUUUCUUCUAACUCCUUUCGGGUUACUUUCUUCUCCAGUUCGGCCGAGAUUGGCCGUUCUAUUUUUUAUUUUAACCAGGGGAUAGGUGUCGAACCACCUCCCUCAUGAUCAUUCCUCAUUGGCCGGAAGAAAGGUUGUUGUUCAUUAGGUCACCGCCACACAUUCAAUUUCAACCCUUUAGCUUCCUCAUAAUAUUGUUUCGCUUCGGCUUGCAAUCUCUGCUGCCGAUGCUUCUGAGUCUUUGUUAAUAUCGGCCUCUUCCAUUUGGCCGAUACUUUUGCUUCGUGUCAUUAAUCGAUUGGCACAUUUGCUGGUACCUUUACUGUUCUGAGAUGAUUUCUCAGGAUCUCUCUUCUUUCUCAACGUCUCAGCCAAGGCUAAAUGCCGAGUUUAUUAACAAACCUUUGACCGAGGAAUUCUAUGUCCUCCUCGGUCAUCCCUUCAAAUUCAGGUUCAGGUCUCAGCUUGGCCUGGUGCUGCCAGUUUGGCCGAUAUUCUGGAAAUCUUUGUUUAGAGCCGAAUGGUUUCUCAGGAUAACUCUAUCGGCUAGUGCGCUCUUCUCUUCGACUGNAUGCCGAGUUUAUUAACAAACCUUUGACCGAGGAAUUCUAUGUCCUCCUCGGUCAUCCCUUCAAAUUCAGGUUCAGGUCUCAGCUUGGCCUGGUGCUGCCAGUUUGGCCGAUAUUCUGGAAAUCUUUGUUUAGAGCCGAAUGGUUUCUCAGGAUAACUCUAUCGGCUAGUGCGCUCUUCUCUUCGACUGUUGUAAUAGUCGUUCAAGACCUUUGGAAUUAAUAGGUCUUUCUUGCCUUUCACUGAAUCAACUUCUUGUUUAGAUUCAUUGGAGGUUUCCUCCGAGCCUUCCUCCGAUUUGUUCUCUGCUUCGGGAAUGUCCUCCCACUCCUCGGGAAACGCCAUGAACUCUCUCCAUUCACCGUAUAACUUCUUUUCGUGAAUAAUCGCUUCCCAAUCUUUUUUAGUCAUUUCGGCCUUGCACCUUAUGCAUAGCCGUAGCGUCCUCUUGGUAUGUGCAAUACCAUCAUUAGUCUUUCUAUAUGCAGACACCUUCCCUUUAAUGUCUGCCAUAUUAACCUACGAAGGAAAACGAUUUUAGUCAAUUUUCAUAUUUUUGUUUCCCUUAUCGGCAAAUAUGAGUCGACCUUCAUUUAUUUUCUUUUGGAUCUGCCUUUUAAAGGCAGUACACUCAUUUGUUCUAUGGCUCCAUGAGUGGUGCCAUUUACAAUAUCUUCUCAUUUUCAAUUCUUCUCCGAAAGGUAUAAUUUGACCAUCUUGAAGCUGAAUUCGUCUAUCUUUUAACAACCGAUCAAAAUCAUAUCGGUCUUCAACACAUCGAAAGAAUAGGUAUAUGUUGCCACUCGAGUCUUUGCUUCGCUGGAUUUAGCAGGCUUUAGUACAGCACACUUAUAUGGUUGACUAUUUUUUAUCAUUUUUGCCGCAUAUAUUUCGGCUUCAUUAGCCAAAUUCUCUAUUUCUUCGGACGUGUCCGGCUCAUCUUGAGCUGAAGAUUCUUCAAGAAAAGAAAUAUUUUUCUCUUUCCCCUUAUUCCAUUCUUUAUUUCGGCUCCAUCUAGGCUGAUCUUCAUUAUUUCCUUUUCUAAAUUGCUCAUAUUGAGCAACCCGAACUCCCAAAUCGAACAGAUUCGGAAAAUACUUGUCUUCAAAAUGGUCUUUAAUUUUGAAAUGUAGACCAUUGAAUGUCAUUUUGGCAAAUUCGGAUUCUUGCAUCCUCACAAAACAAUGGCUUCUUACCAUUUUGAAUCGGUUCAAAUAUUUCUCAACCGAUUCCCCUGUUCUUUAUCUAAACUGGGCCAGAUCAGCAACCGAAAGUUCCGACUCUGAUCUAUAAAACUGUUCAUGAAAUUUUUUUUCCAAUUUGUCUCAAUCUCGGACAGAAUUGGCUGGCAAACUCGUAUACCAAGUAAAUGAAGUCUUGGUUAACGAGGUAUUAAAUAACCUAAGUUUCAAGAAAGGAUCGACCGCAGCUUCUCGACAUUAAGCCGUAAACUGUGCAACAUGUUCGACUGUAUUUUCAGUCUCGUCAGCCGAAAAUUUGUCAAAUUUCAGUAUUUUCCAGUUUGCCGGAUAGGGAUGUUCCACAUCUAUAUUUGCAGGGUAAGGGGAUCUGAAUACAGACCGCAUUGCCGGCCUCGCUCCGAUUCCGAAAAUAUUUCGGAUGACUUCCUCAAUUUGGGUAUAGAUUUCAUUAUUGUUCCCUUAUAUGGGAACAUGAGCCUAUGCUUGAAUCGGGUUCGGUCCUUGUGGUAAUCCAGCGUUUUGCGCUGUAGGGCUAACUCCCUGCAUAGCAGAAUUCGAGGCUUGCCCCCCAGGUCUAGCCCCUACAUUUUGGGGCUAAUAUGUUGCCAAUGGCGGUGGAGGAGGUAAACCCCAGGCUAUCUCCGAUUGUUGACCAGCAUUUAAAACAGCCGGUCUAUAAGCCACUUGAAAGGUGCCCCCUGGUGUUGAGGUUGACCACUCACCGGUGUUACAAGAUUUUGUAAUACCGGUGUAACCAUAGGUCCUUGUAGACCUACUAUAGGCUGCUCGUUUCUUGUCAGCAAAUGCCCUAUUCGAGCAAUAUUCUCAUUAAAGGUCGUAAUUGCGGCCAGCACUGCAUCUAAACGAGCAGUGCUUCUGUGACUAUUUUGGUCCAGUACUUGCAGGACCCAUGUUAUUUGUCCAAGCGCUUGAGCCAAACUUGGCUCUUGUUGGUCAGAUGGACCACUAGCCUCACCUUCAGCUGGUAAAGUUGCUUGGCGCUCACCUGCAUUAUCAAAACUGCUGGCUUGGUCAUUCCCGAAAUUUCGAGGAACGACCCUAUUACGCAAAUUCAUGGCAUUAUCAUCAGCCAUAGUUCCUGUAAGAAAAGAAAUUUACCUAAAUGUGUCCCACCGGGCGUGCCAAAAUUUGUUAUGAGCCAAAUUCCUCCGCCGUUGACCUGGUCAAAGGCCUUCCUAGGGAAACGUGCAGGAACUAGAUCCGGCUUCAGAUGGUGAUCCUUGAAGCUUGCGCCCUCUGACGGAUCAAGCAAUUCGGCUGAUGAGGGAUCGGAUCAGCCGAGAUCGAAAACCCUUGCUGUAGAAACAAGUUCGGCUGAAUGAGCCGAAUAGAUGAAAUACACAGCACUUGGUCGGCUGAAAGAGCCGAAUGCCUUUAUAUAUUGCAAUUAAAUCUGGGAACUUGUACAAACGCGAGUGUGCCUUCGGGCCAUAUAGACUCCGGGAUGUCAGGUCCUAUGUGUUGGCAAGUUUUGUGGGUCGAGUCGGAGUCUUGAAGAAGUUCGGAGCAGAGUAUUGAAGAUCGAAGAAUCCAAGACUUCGAAGAAUCGGAAAGGACGCAAAACAUGCAAAACUUGAAUCACGAUGCGUAGGUAAGUUUUAAAUCUUGUUUAUGGUGAUUCAUACUUAUUUAUAGAUCUUAGAAUCAUAUUUCAAGUUUGUAAUUGAUUAGAAAGUUUUUAAGAGUUUGUAAAACCGAAACAAUGCAUUUUUCACGCGAAAAUUGCAUUGCUGUACCGGACAAGGAUUUUUCUGUCCAGGGUACAGCCAUCAGAGUUGCGCAGAGAAGUUGAUGGUUGUUCUGGUACAACCUUCAUGCUGUACCGGUACAUACAAGCCCGUUCCGGAACAAGCUGAAGCUUAUCCAGGGUACAGGAGCUUCGCAGAAAUCUUCGUCAUGGUUACCCUGGACAGCUUUCCAUUGUUCCGUACAAGGUGCUGAUUUUGGAAAGAAACUUUAUAAUUCUACUCCGUUUUGAAUUCUAAAGUUAAUCGUGAUUCAAGUUUGGCAUGUUUUGGCGUCCUUUCCGAUUCUUCGAAGUCUUGGAUUCUUCGAUUCAUAUACUCUGCUCCGAAUUCUUCAAGACUCCGACUCGACCCACGAAAACUUGCGCACACAAUAGGACCUACCAAUCUCCCCCUUUGGCAAUUUCGUGACAAACACCAUAAACUCACAAAUUAACAAUCUAAAGAAAAACGAAGUUCAAUGUCAUCACCAAAACAUACGAGACUCCCGUCGCGUGUAAUCCAAAUAACAAUUGAAAACUCAAAAUUACAUCAAAACUCCUAAAACACAGACUCUAUGACUAGACACAACAUGAGAGUUCUGAAGUAUCUUGAUUUCUGCAAAACACUUCAUUCAAAAUGAUUGAGCACUAAAUUCAAUACCUUCUCACCCUUUGUUCACAUCUCCCCUUUGUUCUUGAACUCAUCAUCCUCAUGCUUCAGUUCAAUCGGUUCAUCCAUGCUUCCCCCUUCAUCUAAGUUCAUUUCUGUUCAUCCAUGCUCUCCCCCUUCAUCUACGCUCUCCCCCUUUUCGUCAAAAAUUGCCAAAGAAAAGCAAAUAAGAGAGAAAACAUACUUAAGAAAAACAAUGAGAGUAGUCUAGUCUAUAGUUAAAGGCCUAAAACAAAAGUAAAACAUACUACAGAAAGAUAAGAAGGAAAUCUAAAACACGUCGUCCUAAACUCAAAUGCAGUGAAAGAAAAAGACUAAGCUCGACGAAAGAAAUCACUUCCGUGUCCUCAUCCAUCACAUCAUCAUCUUCAGCACCAGCUCCAGAGCCUCCAGCCUCAGGAGCAUCACCAGACGGUGGAAUGAAAGAUGUCUGUGAAGAUGACCGCUGAUACGAAGUAGAAGAUGGAGUAGGUUCCCAAAUAUAUCAUGUCUAACCCAUCUUAUCCAUUCAACCUUUUGAUACUCUAACUCAAACUUUUGAUGCUUGAACUCAACUUUCCUUCCAAUGUUGUUCACCUUUCUUUAACUUUCGGCAAAUCUUUCUAACUGAUUCGAAUGCUCGCUUCCCCCGAACUAGAUGAAGUGUCAUAAUUCCUCGAGAUGUAGGCGGAAGGAGCAGAGCUAGAAGCUGCUCUCGGUGGAGGUGCUGGAUCUAGAUGCUUCAGGAGGUGCUUCUUUGGUCUGCAUGAACUGACUUGAGAGUGCUAAACAGACUUAGCCCAAGUCACUGAGUCAAUAGGCCCAAGGCCAACAUCAUAUUUGUCACAAAGAUGUAUCCACUCCCAUUUGCUUGAAGAAUCCUCGUAAUCAGAACAGGGAAUGGUAGUAGAUGCCGUCGAGUGAACUGAAUUACUGAAUCAUCCUUUGCCAAAUCAGAAAUGGAAUGUUGAUGUUUCAACGCCACGAGCCUCUGCUCGGGAUGACUAAAGUAGAUAUGCAACACUAAUCUACCCAGCGGAUAUCUCUUUGUGCCGAUAGUUGGUUGAACAUUGUAGCUCAUAAACCAAGAUAGCAAGUGAUACUCGGGUAAUAAGUCCUUGGAUUCAAUGUAAACCAUGAGUCAUGUAAACACACGGCGCUUUGCAUAUAGCUCCAAGAACAAUAUCCAGUGUGAGUUGCUGCUUGAAAUCCUCCUAAAGUAUAGAGAAGACCUGAAGUGUCCAACAUGCAUCCCAAGAUCUCUCCAAUAUCAUAGGGAGUAAUGGAAAUCUCCUCUGACGCACAACAGUCUCGAAGAUAAAAGUGCCUGUUUCAUUAUCUUCAGCAAGCACAUUUCCAUUCAUAUAGAACUCGCCUAAAUAAGUUCUACACAGAAAGAGCCUUGUGCAGGACACCGUCAACAGGCUCAAUAGGCGCGCGCGCUGUAAUAAUCGUCCAAAAUCCGGAACCUCCGAAUCAGAUCAUGGAAGUUCACAAAGCGUUCAGCUAUUGUAACACUCCACAUCCCUCGUAAAAUCGUGCCGAGUUCCGUCAAAACGAAUGGAACACGGAAUUGAAGCUGAGUUAAAGUGGACCCCUAAUGCAUUGGAGUUCAUAAACGGAGCAAAAGUGACAACCGGAUGAGCAAAUUUGAAUGAAUUUCUUUUUUUAUUUAAUUCUUUAUUUUUUUUUUUUUUUAUUAUUUUUUUUUUUAUUUUAUUUUUUUUUUUUCCUUUUUGAAUUAUUUAUUUUUUUAUUUUUUUUUUUUUUUUUAUGAUUUUUUUUUUUUUUUUAUAUUUUUUUUUUAGUUUUUUUUUCAAUAAUUUUUUUUUUUAUAUAAAUUUUAUUUUAUUUUUUUUUUGACAUUUUUUUAUUUUUUUUUUUUUGUUUUUUUUUUUUUUUUUUUUUUUUUUUUUUUUAAGUUUUUUUUUUUUUUUUUUUUUUUUUGAUUGAUUUUUUUGUUUUCUUUUUUUGAUUUUUUUGUUUGUUUUUUUUUUUUUUUUUUAUUUUUUUUUUUUUUUUAUAUUUGGAUUUUUUUCUUUUUCUUUUUUUUUUUUUUUUUUUAUUUAUUUUUUUUUNNNNNNNNNNNNNNNNNNNNNNNNNNNNNNNNNNNNNNNNNNNNNNNNNNNNNNNNNNNNNNNNNNNNNNNNNNNNNNNNNNNNNNNNNNNNNNNNNNNNGCAGAGUAUAACGAAUAAAUAAGGGUGCAAGGCUCAAUAUACUAUGCGAUAGUAACAACAGAAGAGCAAGGGUAAGAAACCAUCACAAAGUGUGCACCACUGUACCGACGUCGGAUCGAAGUACCCACCUGUCACAAUAGCGUCAAAAACCUGGGUGCGCUCAAUCAGUAACCGGACCUAUGAAGAUCCACUAGGUUAGUAACAAACCCACAACUCUCGAAUACACAACUCACAAACCCCCACAAAAGAUCCCCGUAAUCGGUUUCCCAAAACCGAUCACCGUAACUCACCGAAAGUCCCGAAAACUACACCGGGACGCCAUCGGGACCCACUAAGUGUCCCGAAAUUCACCGACUCGUGCCACGAGUCACCUGCUGCACCAGAACACUCCGAUUUGGAUGUUUGGAAACAAACACAAGAUAACAACACUACACAAUUAUCACCGGAUAAUUGUACGAAUUCGGGUUCCCGGAAGUGUCUAUUUCGACACCGGAACCCACCGUCGCUCACCCAUCAUCACCGAACCUGCAAAAUGAUGAUGGUGACUAGCCAACAAGGCUCAGCACCACACACAAGACAACCAAACCACGUCAGAAGAAAUCCGAACCAAAACCGCGUUCUUUCGGCGAAUUUCGCCGAAAAACGCACCGAAAUCGACUCUUCGAUUUUCGUAAAAGCUAACGGAUCAUGGACAAUCAGUCCAGAGGUCAAACACACUCAUACACACUGUCCACAGUGGCCCUAGGGUGCACAAUUGCACAAAAGUCCCUCUAAUUACAUAAAAUCCUAUCAUUUUAUGUAAUUUGAGCGAUCAAGUGGCUCGUUCAUGCAAACCGAGGACUUCCAAAGUCCGCAGAGACAUGUACUGACAGGUCUCAAUGUGCCGGAGGCCGUGCUCAUGAUCCAGAGCACAACGGCUCGCUGUGGGAAGCGCGGGGGCAACCCGAAGGUUCAGUGAACAGCGUGCAGCCACGAAAAAAUGCACCGAACAGGGCUAACCGGACACUGCUGAUCCAAGGUAAGGUGAGCACUGUGAUCAGCACUAACCAGCGAUCACCGUGCUCACCUCCGGAGGCAUCGGAAUAGCCUCGGAUCGCCGAAAACGCACGCACAAACCCAGAACAACAGCCAAAAAGGCUCCACAAGGUCGACACCGCAAAAACAGCGGAACGGGGCCUUCCCGACAGAAACCAAGGUGAGCACGAUGACCAGCAACUUGCCAGGAUCAUCGUGCUCCCUUCCGUAGAGAUCGGGGAGGCUCGGGAAGCUUGGAACAGUAAACAUCCCAUAAACAGCCCUAUUUCGGGCUUGGCCAGAGCAAGCUUGCUCCGGCAGACUUCCGGCGGCACGGCGAGGUGCGCCCGGGCCAGGGAUGGGUGCGGGGGAGGUGAGGAGUGAGGUGCUCACCUCAGACAGCGGCGGAGAGCCGCGGCAGCGACGGCAGAGCAAGGCAAGCCCACACAGGCUCAGCUCGGGUUCCGCGGGCAAUGGCGGGCACGGCGGCGGCCGCGAAGCUCCAGGACGGCGGCGGAGGGUUGUCUGAGGCCGGAGGGAUGCCUUGGGUGUGGUCCCACGCGGCGGCGACGCAGGGAGGGCGUCGCGAGCUCGCCUCGGCCCGAGCGGGUCUGGGGCGGCUGCGGCUGGCCGAGGCGGCGACGGCGGCUCGCUGGGGCGGCGGCGACCGGCGGGAAGGGUCGCUGAGGGUACGGGGACGGCGACGGGGAAGGCAAUGUAGCCUCGGCCUGGGCUCCAACCCGAGAGAAAGAGAGAUAGAGGGAGAGGGAUGGAGGAGAAAGCUACAGGGAGAAGGAACCUCCUUCUCCAGCGACCGGCAGCGUGCGCUGGCGACUGGGGCGCACGCCGUGCACUCAGGGAAGGGAGUAGAGGCGGCUAGGUCAGCUAGGGUGAUGCGGCUAGGGCUAGGGUUAGGGUUCCAAGGUGAAAAGCUUAAAUACAAAGCUCCAAUUUGCAGAAAAGCCCCUCAAAACUCAACAUUCAUUCCGAGCCCUCACAGCACGAGUUAAAAUGCACGGAUACCCCUCCAUCAUGCAAAUCUCACGAUGAAACGUACAUAAAAUAUCGCAACUUUUUGCGAACAAUACCGUUUGCCAUUACCGACCUCUCCUCGAUCCAUCGCGCCAAUCUCCGCAGAUCGGUCCGUAGAUUUGGAACGGAUUCACCAGUGCACACAGCCGACGGAGACAACAAAGAUGCGACUUUCUGUUUCACCUCGGAUCGACCACGGAGUUCAUGACAAAAUCAACCUUUCUUUUUCAAUAGAAGAAACAAACGAAAUACAAUAUAAAACAUGUAUUCUUUGGAUUUUCUUGAAUCGUGUGUCAAACUCAAAAUCCGUCAGCGCCAUAGUUCCAGAACACUGAUAUCCGGUCAAACGGGCUAUUGGACCGCCUUCAUGAACGGUAGCGUCCGAUACGAGCCUGAAGCCAACAAUCACACAGUGGCUUCUCCGGAAAUAUCGAGUUUACUAUGUCAUUAUAGUGAAGACUGGAAAUCAGCAGUAGAAUUUUCCGUUUUAACUCGUUUUCUUUCGAAACUUGACGGGUGCUUUUAUAAUUAAAUUACCACCACAAACUCGUACGUCAAUGAGAGUUUAGCUACUACUGCAAAAUUAUCAGUCCUUUUACACUUUGUAGUUGGCAAACUUCUUGAUCUCUGUGUUAUGCUUGAAAUUUUUGACUUAGUGGGGAUAAUUUGGAAUACUAUGUAAUGUUUCGGCUAACAGUUAGUUUGUAUUGGUGAGAUCUUUCUCCCAAAUACGACAAAUGAGAAUAAACACAAUAUAGUUAAAGAAAAUGGUAACAGAGAAGACAUUGUGAGGUAUUAAUUAGAGGAUUCAUUAUAAGUUGAUAAUAGAUAUCAUACCUCAAUAAUAACAGAUCAAAAGGAUCUUGUGCAAGACCUUGAGAUGAAACUUUAUAUUCUUGACAAUAUAAGCACAUGUGGCAAUACUAAAAAGAUAAAGAACUAUUAGUCAAAGUACAUGCUACCUAAGAGCAUUGCUAUAUGUCUCUUAUUUAAUUGAUUUACUAGAGAAUGUUACAACCAUAAACAAUGGAAUUGAAUCGAACUAGUUAGUCUAUAAUGUAAUAGAUGAUGUAAUAGAGGAUGCAUGUAGCAAAAUGGCUCUAUAAUUGCAGCAAAACUUGAAGGUUUGGACUUUAUCAUAUUUCUUUCUUUUUCUUAGUUUGAAUAGCCGAGUUCUACUCUACAUUUCCGCAAACUUCAAGACUAAUUACUAUUUCACUUAUGAUUAAUUAGAAGACUAGAUCAAUUGCAAUUUGAUUGAUUAGUUUAAAUCCCAAGUUUCUGCUUUGAUGCCACUAGUUUGCAUUAUUUUUUGUGACAAUGUAAAGUAAGAAAUUUUUUACUUGUGAUCAGUAGAAACUUAAAACUCAUAUUUUUUACAGUUUUUUUUAUACUUUUUCCUACUAAAUUGUCUGACAACAUUCUUUAAUUGAGUGUAGUUCAAUCUCUUUGUGCAUCAUAUUGCUAACAUUAACCUCAUGGAUAAGAGUUGGAUGAAUAAACCGAGGUCUGUCUCUUAUUAAUUUUUAUUCUAUAAUUUUGAAAUUAUUUUAAUAUCUUAUUUUAUAAAUUAAUUUUUAUUUAAAAAUUUAUAGGGCAAGUGAAAAGUAUCUUCGUGGUGUUUCGGACUUUCUAGAUUUUGCGUUUUUCAAAGCAAGCCAAGAGGGGCUAAUUCUUUGCCCUUGUAAAAAUUGUAGCAAUCGCUUUUGGAACAGUAGAGAAAUUGUUCUUGAGCAUUUGAUUUGUGAUGGAUUUGUCCAUGAUUACACAUGUUGGGUUUAUCAUGGGGAAGACAUUACAUCAUCUUUUCUCGGAUCAGAUUAUGGUAAUUCUAGUGCAUGUGAUAAUAUGCGUGAGAUGCUAAAUGAUGCGUUUGGAUGUUUUGAUGAAAACAAAGAGGAAAUGCCAGCAGAAGAACAUAAUUACAAUGAAAAUCCAAAUGAAGAAGCGAAGAUAUUUUAUAAAUUAGUCAAAGAUUCUGAGCAAGAGUUAUACCCUGGUUGUAAGAAGUUCUCAAAGCUCUCUUUCAUUGUUCGAUUAUUUCACUUGAAAUGCCUCAAUGGUUGGACAAACAAUUCAUUUACUAUGUUGCUCACCUUACUAAAAGAGGCAUUUCCUAAGGGUGAAACACUACCAAAUUCAUAUUAUGAAGCAAAAAAAAUUAUCAACGAUUUAGGUCUGGGUUAUAAAAAAAUUGACGCUUGUCCAAAUGAUUGUCAAUUGUACUAUAAGGAGACCAAAGAUUCAAUAUCAUGUGCCAUUUGUGGUGCUUCAAGGUGGAAGUCAACUGAGAAGAAUGUGGAAUAUGAUACAUCGACAUCUACUAAAAAAGCUAAAAAUAUUUCAGCCAAGAUUCUAAGAUAUUUUCCUUUAAAACCAAGACUUCAGAGGAUGUUUAUGUCAUCAAAAACAGCUUCCCUAAUGAGAUGGCAUCAAGAAGGUCGAACAAGAGAUGGAGUGAUGAGGCAUCCGGCAGACUCCCCUGCUUGGAAAACAUUUGACUUUGAACAUCCCGAAUUUUCGUCAGAUCCUCGCAAUGUAAGGCUUAGGUUAGCAACCUGAAAAAGGCUCAACAGGGUCGACACCGCCGAAACAGCAGAACGGAGUCUCCCCGACAAAAUCUAAGGUGAGCACGAUGAUCAGAAAGUUGCCACGAUCACCGUGCUCCCUUCCGCAGAGGUCGGGGAGCCUCGGGUAGCUCGGAACCGCAAACCUACCUAACUAAGCCCUAUUUCGGGCUUGGCCGGAGCAAGCUUGCCCCGGCCGGCUUCCGGCAACGCCGCGAGGUGCGCGAGGGUCAGCGAUGGGUGCGGGGGAGGUGAGGAGUGUGGUGCUCACCUCAGUUGGCGGCGAGGAGCGGCGGCGGCGACGGCGGAGCAAACCGAGCCCGCACAAGAUCCUGUUCGGGCUCCAAGUGCAGCUGCGGCCACGGCAGCGGCCGGGGCGCUCAAGGACAGCGGCAGAGGGUUGCAGGAGGCCGGAGGGAAGCCGAGGAAGUGGCUCUGGGCAGCAGCGAUACGAGGAUGGAGCCGCAAGCUCGGCUCGGAUCGAGCUUGCCAGAAAACCCGCAGGGCGGCUCUAGCGCGGCGGCGGCCCUCGGGACGGCUCAGGGCGGCGGUGACCGACCACCUGAGGUCGGAGGGGGUGCCACAGGGUGGCCAAAGGUGGUGGCGGCGCGGGGAAGAGGUCGCAGACCUGCCUCGGCCUGGGCUCGGUCUGGAAGGCAGCAGCCGGUUGGUGCGGCUGCGGCGGCGCUCCGGGCGGCUCAGGGCGACAGUGGCCGACUGCCCGAGGUUGAGGAGGUGCCUCAGGGUUGGCCCGGGGUGGCGGCGACGCAAGGGGAAGGCCGCACGGUCAGCUUUGCCUGGGCUCGGCCAAGCUGGGCGCAGGAUGCAGCAGCGGCAGUAGUGAAGCCCAGAGGCGACGGCGGUAGGCGGGGAGGCUUGCCAGGGCACAGAGGCGACACCGGAAGGGUGUAGGGAGACGACUGCAGCCUCAGAUCUGUCUGCAACCCGAGAGGAAGAAAGAUGGCGGGAGAGGGAUGGAGAGGGAAGAGAAAAAGGUGGCUGAGGAGGCUGCGGUUGCUGCUGGCCGGCCGGGGCUCGGUCGACAGCGACCGGGAGGAGUGCGGCUAGGGCAGAGAAGAUAGAAGAAGUGGCUGGGGGCGUGGCUAAGGUCUAGGGUUAGGUGGAAGAAACCCUAAAAACUCUAUAUAUACCAAGGUGUCGAUUGCGAGUUAGCCCACGAAACCUCAGUAUUUCAAACUGAAUCCCUCACAGCGCGUGAACAACGCGAGAAUACCCCUCCACGUGCGAUCUCGCGUAAAACGGCACAUAAAAUGUCGCGACUUUUGCGAAAUUACCGUUUUGCCAACACCGACCUUUCCUCAAUCAACGCGCGAUCUCCGCAGAUCCGUCAGUCCGAUUUGCGAACGGAUUGUACCAGUGCGAUCAGCACGACGGAGACCACAAAGCUACGAUUUCGUUUCUCCUUGAUCGGUCUCGGAUUCGCAACGAACUCAGUCCAUCAUUCCAACGAAAGAAACUACGCACAAAUACAUAUAAAACAUGUAUUUUCGAAUUUUCUAGAAAUCCAUUCCUCAAACUCAAAAUCCGUCAGCGCCAUCGGUUCUAGAAUAACCAAACCGUUCGAAACGAGCUAUUGGACUGCUAUGAACGGAGUCCGAUACGCGCCAGAAGCCAACUUCACGCCGUGGCUUCUCUAGAAAAUCGAGUUACUAUUCACUUUAAAUGAAACUUGGAAAUCACGUAGAAUCUCCGAUUUAACUCGGUUUCUCCCGAAACUCGACGAGUGCUUUUGUAAUUAAAUUACACACAAAAACAUCGUCAACUGAGAGUUUAGCUACACUACCAAAAUCUCGGUCCUUACAAAUUAUCUGAUGAACCUUUCGUAUUAGCAUUUCAAGUGAGCCAAGUAUUUUAUGUACAAGAUACUAGUAACAAGGAUUGGAAGGUAGUUGUUCAAAUAAGACCAAGAGACAUGUUUGAUAUGCAGCAAGAAAUUCUUGAAGAUGAUAUAGAGGUUCAUAUGGAUUAUGGUACGUGUGAAAACACCAUGAAUAAUAUUGAAGGAAAGCUUAGUUGGAAUAGAAAUGAUGUGCCGGGACUUACAAUUGACAGCUAUGUAAUAAACACUCAUGAUUUGGAAGCAAACGCAUACGAUAAUGUGGAUACGGAAGAUGACUACGACUUAGACGAUUCGAACCUACUUUAGGUACAUAUUAUUUGCUCUACUUAUUAGUAUAUUACCGGUAUAUUGUUUAUUCCGGUUAACGGAUGGUAACAGUGAUAGUAGUAAACUAAGCCUCGGUAACCUUACCAAACCUGAAACAUUCAGUAAGUUUGCCCUUCCUGAAACGUGCCCUAAUCCUAUCACCGUUCUCCAUUUCAAACCUAAAUAGCCUCAAAGAAGAUCUCCCUUACUAGGUUGGACAGAAACUACUUUAUUUAAAUCAACAAGACCAUCACCACAACGAUAACACAGCCGUACAGGAACGAACUAAACUAAACGUGAGAGUGACAACAUUUCAUGGCCAACGAAAAGAUCCACGUUUAAACUUUCAUCAACCCGUUCCAUCGGUACUUCACGUACGAGUUCACAACGACUCCAAACUAGACCUGCUCUCACUGUAAGUUUUACUGGAACUAGAUUAUCGUAAAGUAGUAUGAGUGAAACUAGUUUCAUACCGACAAAACUUGAGAAAGGAAAAAGAAAACACGAGAAGUACUAAUUAUGGACAUAAGUCACUUCAACUUUAAUUCAAUGAGAUUUCAUGUUAUUACUGAUCUACGAAGUGUUUAUAUAAUCAGUAUUUUUACGAACUUGUGAUAUGUUUCUAAAGUAUAUAUUGAUACUGAUACAUAAAUAACAUAGUCUGCGACAAGGCGAUAUUAAAUUUGUUUUACUUUGUUCGGUCCGUUUACUGUUGAUAAACGUUGUGAUUUUUGUGUAAGAUUAAUUGAUGAUANNNNNNNNNNNNNNNNNNNNNNNNNNNNNNNNNNNNNNNNNNNNNNNNNNNNNNNNNNNNNNNNNNNNNNNNNNNNNNNNNNNNNNNNNNNNNNNNNNNNNNNNNNNNNNNNNNNNNNNNNNNNNNNNNNNNNNNNNNNNNNNNNNNNNNNNNNNNNNNNNNNNNNNNNNNNNNNNNNNNNNNNNNNNNNNNNNNNNNNNNNNNNNNNNNNNNNNNNNNNNNNNNNNNNNNNNNNNNNNNNNNNNNNNNNNNNNNNNNNNNNNNNNNNNNNNNNNNNNNNNNNNNNNNNNNNNNNNNNNNNNNNNNNNNNNNNNNNNNNNNNNNNNNNNNNNNNNNNNNNNNNNNNNNNNNNNNNNNNNNNNNNNNNNNNNNNNNNNNNNNNNNNNNNNNNNNNNNNNNNNNNNNNNNNNNNNNNNNNNNNNNNNNNNNNNNNNNNNNNNNNNNNNNNNNNNNNNNNNNNNNNNNNNNNNNNNNNNNNNNNNNNNNNNNNNNNNNNNNNNNNNNNNNNNNNNNNNNNNNNNNNNNNNNNNNNNNNNNNNNNNNNNNNNNNNNNNNNNNNNNNNNNNNNNNNNNNNNNNNNNNNNNNNNNNNNNNNNNNNNNNNNNNNNNNNNNNNNNNNNNNNNNNNNNNNNNNNNNNNNNNNNNNNNNNNNNNNNNNNNNNNNNNNNNNNNNNNNNNNNNNNNNNNNNNNNNNNNNNNNNNNNNNNNNNNNNNNNNNNNNNNNNNNNNNNNNNNNNNNNNNNNNNNNNNNNNNNNNNNNNNNNNNNNNNNNNNNNNNNNNNNNNNNNNNNNNNNNNNNNNNNNNNNNNNNNNNNNNNNNNNNNNNNNNNNNNNNNNNNNNNNNNNNNNNNNNNNNNNNNNNNNNNNNNNNNNNNNNNNNNNNNNNNNNNNNNNNNNNNNNNNNNNNNNNNNNNNNNNNNNNNNNNNNNNNNNNNNNNNNNNNNNNNNNNNNNNNNNNNNNNNNNNNNNNNNNNNNNNNNNNNNNNNNNNNNNNNNNNNNNNNNNNNNNNNNNNNNNNNNNNNNNNNNNNNNNNNNNNNNNNNNNNNNNNNNNNNNNNNNNNNNNNNNNNNNNNNNNNNNNNNNNNNNNNNNNNNNNNNNNNNNNNNNNNNNNNNNNNNNNNNNNNNNNNNNNNNNNNNNNNNNNNNNNNNNNNNNNNNNNNNNNNNNNNNNNNNNNNNNNNNNNNNNNNNNNNNNNNNNNNNNNNNNNNNNNNNNNNNNNNNNNNNNNNNNNNNNNNNNNNNNNNNNNNNNNNNNNNNNNNNNNNNNNNNNNNNNNNNNNNNNNNNNNNNNNNNNNNNNNNNNNNNNNNNNNNNNNNNNNNNNNNNNNNNNNNNNNNNNNNNNNNNNNNNNNNNNNNNNNNNNNNNNNNNNNNNNNNNNNNNNNNNNNNNNNNNNNNNNNNNNNNNNNNNNNNNNNNNNNNNNNNNNNNNNNNNNNNNNNNNNNNNNNNNNNNNNNNNNNNNNNNNNNNNNNNNNNNNNNNNNNNNNNNNNNNNNNNNNNNNNNNNNNNNNNNNNNNNNNNNNNNNNNNNNNNNNNNNNNNNNNNNNNNNNNNNNNNNNNNNNNNNNNNNNNNNNNNNNNNNNNNNNNNNNNNNNNNNNNNNNNNNNNNNNNNNNNNNNNNNNNNNNNNNNNNNNNNNNNNNNNNNNNNNNNNNNNNNNNNNNNNNNNNNNNNNNNNNNNNNNNNNNNNNNNNNNNNNNNNNNNNNNNNNNNNNNNNNNNNNNNNNNNNNNNNNNNNNNNNNNNNNNNNNNNNNNNNNNNNNNNNNNNNNNNNNNNNNNNNNNNNNNNNNNNNNNNNNNNNNNNNNNNNNNNNNNNNNNNNNNNNNNNNNNNNNNNNNNNNNNNNNAAAUACUAAUAUCAACAAAUUACAAUAGGGCUUUUCCAUUUGAUAUUAAUUGUAAAACCAACAAUCUGUAAUAUCCGAAAAAAAAAUAAGAGUCAUAUUACUAAAUUGCAAUAAGAUGAUACGAUCAUUUUUGAAACAAAACUAUAAGCAAUGAUCUAGAGCAGUGAUAAAAUGCAACAAAAUAAAUUUUUAUAUUCUAAUAGAAAUCAAUACAAUAGAAAAUUUAUUUGAACCCCAAAUGGUAGAAAGCUAAGAAAAAGAAAAGUAAAAAGCUCCAGCUAAACAUUCUUGAAAUGCGAACAUCAAAUCCUGCUUGUUGCUUAAAUCUGUAAUAAAAAAAAAUUGAAACAUAGAAGUUGCAUAAGCUCAUUUCAACAGAAAAUCUAUCAUAAGUAACAAAUAGUAAAAAAUAAAAGUAUACAUAACAGCCAUAAGAACUAAAUCUUUUUAGUUCCAAUUAUUACUUCUUAUGGCUUGAUCAGCUCAGCUUGAUCAAACAUAAACACAAUGAUUAUAACUUGAUCAGCUUAGCUUUAGAAGCCUUUUUAUUAAUACAAGAGAAACUGACAAAAUCAUUUACCUUCAGAUGAUCCAUUGCUGCAAGGUUGAAACCAACCGUGUCUUUACAUUCCUGCAGAAGACAAACUUCCAUUAUAACUUGAACAUUAAAGAGGCGAAAAAAAAGAAGGAAAUACAACUCCGGGAAUUUUGCUUACAUACACAUUACCAUACAUGUAUUUGCAUGCAUAACCUUAAAAUUAUGAUUUCAGCCUACACUCCUAGAGUAGCCCGGAUUCACAAAGAUACUCUCAAACGUUGGGUUGCACUGACACCCAUAGGAACGGCGGACAUUUUCGUAUAUCCUCUUAUCGAGAGCUAUAGCAUAAGCUUUCAAGUAGAAGAAGGGAUGUUUCCAAAGGUUUGCAUCAUCUAAAGCAGAAAACAAGCUAGUCUGGGAAAGCUCUUCUGGCACCAUAGGAGGGGAACCAGGUGUAUUUAUACACGUGCGAGUUUUCCUGCAAUACAAGCAGCAGCUGCUAUUACAAAUUUUAUAACUUCUCCUGAAUCUGCUGAAAAGUUUUGAUACUGGUAAAUAAGCAAGGACUUCGUACACUUAACAAUGGUAGCACGUUGAAAGAACUACAAAGGAAUCAACUAAUUUAGAGUGUGUACCUUCAUUAAGCAGCAACUGGACAAGAGAAGGUGUCACGCCCCGAGGUCCCUUUUAGAUUGAAACACGGCGGAAAAGCGUCUAAAUUUUUUUGAAAACCUGACCCCAGAGUAUGCUAGAUCCGCCACAAAUACAGGGAUUCCACUGUUCACAUGGACAGAGUCUCCCCUGUAUUUGCACGGCGUCGCACAAGUACAAGAUGUAAAGUAGGAUACAACUACAACUAAAUGAACAUACAAACAUCCAACAGUUUUAUAUUCAUACACCAUUCACCACAGGUUCAUUCACAUAGUUUUAAUCAUGAAUCAACAUCUAUCAGUUAAAAUGUUUCCUACCCGGAAACUGGUUUUGAAAUACUAAGUUACAAAACCACGAGAAAGCUGUUUGAAAUCCGUUUUUCAUAAGAAAACUCUUUUCUUUUAAAACACGCUACCACGAGGGGUAGAAAACCUUUCCAUUUCACAAAAUCCACAAAUCUAUUUAUUACAUUCAUGAAAACCCAUAUUUUCAAAUGUAAUAAAAAUACUGAACCAUAUAAACUAUCUAAGCUAUAUCAACAGAAUAGUAAGGGUAGGAACUAAACCGAAUAACCUGGGUCGGAAGCUCUAUCGACCGCUACGUACAUAUCUCACGUCUCGUCUCAACCCUCACCGCCUGCGAUACCUGAAAAAUAGUGAGGGAGGUGAGAACAUGUAAACAUGUCUCCCCUCCCAGUGGGUACCGCAAGCCGAAGAAGACGAGGAGUACUCACCAGAUCAGGAAGAGCUAAACAACAGUACGGGUCAGUGGAAAUAUAGUAGCAAUAAUAAUGAACGAAAGAGACAUAUAUAAAUGAAAGUAUAACUACCGCUACUGUAAUGAACAACUGAAUGUAUACAUGCAACAAAACUAUAGUAGCAAGACAAUGUAACAAAAGAAAGAACUGAAGGUAUACAAACAACAACCGCUACUAUAGCUAUAUGCGUCAACCGGUCAAGAAGUCCAAAUAUACCCAAUCUGAAAUCUACUGCUCUGUUGGUCCGCGCCGGAACCUCAAGCCUGUGCCCUGGAGGUUCACACCGGAGACCUCCGUUCUACCAUGCAUCUAACCCCUCUAGGGCUCACGGGUCGACACCUGCAACCACUUUUCCGGAAAAGAACACCCUCUUGCGGUGAAUCAAACCGCUGGUGUUCGUGAAAUGCGAACGAGUCUCGGGCGGUCAAUGCUGAUAUACUCAAAGGCCAAACGUCGGCAACCAGCCGACAAUCCUGCCCACAGGGCUCAUCGACCGUAUAGGUCAUCAACUGUAAGGAAGCACAAGAACUGACCACUCAGAUCAACUAGGAUGGGACAACAUCAACAUCCUCUCAAACAUAUGCAAAUACUGCUCAAUGAACCACAAGGACUGACCACUCAGAUCAACUAGGAUAUAUGCACAACGAAUCGACGAAAAGGUCAUCAGGGUGUAUCAAUAGAAUCCAGAACUACCGUCGACCACUAGCCAACAAUCCAACCCCUCUAGGGUACAUCGACCACAACGGUCAUCGAACGACAGAAGUUAAGGAACCGACCGAAUGUGUCACAAAUACGAAGUACGAAAACCAACCAACCAGGUCACUGAUACGAAGAACAAGAAUCGACCAACCAAGUCACUGAUAUGAAGUACAAGAAUCGACCAACCAGGUCAACAGAUACGCACAUAGACAGAACCACUCUACUCCUACUCAGGAUACUAAGCAUGCACACAACGAGUAGAGUAUAAUGGAAUAACAUGGGUGCAAGGCUCAAUGUAUACUAUGUAAUAAUAACAACAGAAGUAUAAGGGUAAGAAACCAUCACCGAGCGUGCACCACUGUACCGACGUCGGAUCGAAGUACCCACCUAUAAGGAUGUCGCGUCUGUCUCCUGACUGCAAAAGAAUGUCAACAGGACCUAUAAAGGGUCCACCGGGUUAGUAUCUAACCCACAACUAAUAACCACAGUAUCCACAACCCCACAACAAUUUCACGAAGAUCGGUUUCCCAAUACCGAUUACCGUAACUCGCCGGAAGUCCCGAAAACCACACCGGAACGCCGUCGGGACCCACUAAGUGUCCCGAAACUCACCGACUCGUGCCACGAGUCACCUGCUGCACCAGAACACUCCGAUUUGGAUGUUUUGGCAGCAAACACAAGAUAACAACACUACACAAUUAUCACCGGAUAAUUGUACGAAUCCGGGUUCCCGGAAGUGUCUAUUUCGACACCGGAACCCACCGUCGCUCACCCAUCAUCACCGAACCCACAAAAUGAUGAUGGUGACCAGCCAACAAGGCUCAGCGACCACACACAAGACAACCAAACCACGUCGGAAGAAAUCCGAACCGAAACCGCGUUCUUUCGGCGAAUUUCGCCGAAAAACGCACCGAAAUCGACUCUUCGAUUUCCGCAAAAGCUAACGGAUCAUGGACAAUCAGUCCAGAGGUCAAACACACUCAUACACACUGUCCACAGUGGCCCUAGGGUGCACAAUUGCACAAAAGUCCCUCUAAUUACAUAAAAUCCUAUCAUUUUAUGUAAUUUGAGCGAUCAAGUAGCUCGUUCACGCAAACCGAGGACUUCUAAAGUCCGCAGAGACACGUACUGACAGAUCUCGACGUACCGGAGGCCGUGCUCAUGAUCCGGAGAACAACAGCUCUCUGUGGGAAGCGCGGGAGCAACCCGAAGGUUCAGCGAACAGCGCGCAGCCACGGAAAAACGCACCGAACAGGGCUAACCAGACACUGCUGAUCCAAGGUAAGGUGAGCACUGUGAUCAACACUGACCAGCGAUCACCAUGCUCACCUCCGGAGGCAUCGGAAUAGCCUCGGAUCGCCGAAAACGCACGCACAAACACAAAACAACAGCCAAAAAGGCUCCACAGGGUCAACGCCGCAAAAACAGCGGAACGGGGCCUUCCCAACAGAAACCAAGGUGAGCACUAUGACCAGAAACUUGCCAGGAUCAUCGUGCUCCCUUCUAUAGAGGUCGGGGAGGCUCGGGAAGCUCGGGACAGUAAACAACCCACAAACAACCCUAUUUCGGGCUUGGCCGGAGCAAGCUUGCUCCGGCCGGCUUCCGGCGGCACAGCGGCGCGCACGGUGGCUAGGAUUGGGUACCGGGGAGGGAAGGAACAAGGUGCUCACCUCAGGUGGCGACGAGGAGCGGCGGCGGCGACGGCGGAACCAACCCAGCCCGCACGAGGUUCGGGCUCUCCGAACGGGGGUGGGUGUGCCGGAGGCCGCGACGGAGGCCGCAAUGAUGGAAAAAGGGUGGCUGCGGCGCUGGGGUGGAGCUACCAGGUCUGCUCGGCCUGAGCAGACUUGGGGCGGCUGCAGGAUGGCCGUAGCGGCAGCGGCGGUGGUCGGCGGGGUGCUCGCCGGAGCACGGGGCAACACCGGCGGAGGGUCUAGAGGUGGCGGCAGUCUCGGGCUUCCUCACAACCCGAGACAAGAGAGAGAGAGAGAGAGAGAGAGAGAGAGAGAGAGAGAGAGAGAGAGAGAGAGAGAGAGAGAGAAAGAAGGUGGCUCCGGCGGCGGCUGGCCGGCCGGGGCUCAGUCGGCGGCGGCCGGGGGCGUGCGCAGCAGGUGCAGGGAAGAGGGAUGGAGGUAGCAGGGAGCGGCUAGGGCAGCAGGGUUAGGGUUUCCAAGGUGAAACCCUAGAACAAGCUUAAAUACCAAGUGCAAUUUGCAAAAAGGUCCACCAAAUCUCAGUAUUACUACUGAGUCCCUCACAGCGCGUGUUAAACGUGCGAACACCCCUCCACGUGCGAUCUCACGUGAAACGGUACAUAAAAUAUCGCGACUUUUGCGAAAUUACCGUUUUGCCAUUACCGACCUCUCCUCGAUCAACGCGCAAUCACCGCAGAUCCGUCCGUCAGAUUUGCGAACGGAUCGCACCAGUGCGAUCAGCACGACGGAGACAACAAAGCUACCAUUUUGGUUCCUCUCGAUCGGUCACGGAUUCGCGACGAGAACAGCUCCAACUCUCCAAUAGAGGAAACUACGCACAAAUACAUAUAAAACGUGUAUUUUUGGAUUUUCUCGAAAUUCGUGCGUCAAACUCAAAAUCCGUCAGCGCCAAUAGUUCCAGAAUUGCUGAACCGGUCGAAACGAGCUAUUGGACUGCUAUGAACGGAGUCCGAUACGAGCCUGAAGCCAACUUCACAACGUGGCUUCACUGGAAAAACCAAGUUACUAUUCACUUAAGUGAAAAAUAAAGAUCGCGUAACUCCUCCGUUUUAACUCGUUUUCUCCUGUAACUUGACGAGUGCUUAUGUAAUUAAAUUACACACGUAAACAUCGUCAAUAGAGAGUUUAGUUGCACUGUCAAAAUCUCAGUCCUUACAGAAGGAACCCGGCAGAAGCGAAAAAGUAUCAGGAAAAUAACAAAGGCUGGUAAAAAAUGAUCUUCUUGAACACAAAUCACUAUGAAAUGUUGAAAAUCUUGAGAGAAAACAAUUUAUCAACUCCAAAAUAUUAUCUUCUAGGCUAUUAUACGAGCAUGAAGGCAAUAAUAGCCUACAGGACCUACACUACUAACAAAAUAAUCAAAUUUCUAUAAUUCUAUUGGACCCUAAGCAUCAGCCCCAAACCAAUCGGACUGAUUCAUAGGCCAAGAAAUUAAUCUAUUCUGCUCAUAACCAACCAAACUAAGUUGUAAAACAUCAUAAAACUUAAAAAACAUUAAAAUAUAACAUCAUAAAGCUUGAAAAACAUGAAACAUGAGAAAAGUUCUUAUGCCUGGUUGUCAACUAUUACAUAAGUAAAUGGUGAAAUUCCCUGCUCUGAUACCUGAAAAAAGAAUGCCCUAUAAGAAGAGCACAUAUACUUCCUUUAAGAACAAACCCCUAAUUAGCCUUUAAAUAAUUUAAAAGUUAGCACAGAGGUUUCUGUACUGUGAAGAGAAUAUAAAGCUCUCGUAGUUCAGGAGUUGUUUGCAGCUUAAAAGCUACGUUUUAAUUGUAUUUGGUGUAAGAUAGUUAACUCCUAUUUCAGUUCUUUUUCUAAAGUACAAGUACAGCCCGUGGGAUAGUCUUUAUUAUUAAAUGAAAGAAGCGAAUUCAAUGUAGCUUGGGCUUUCGGUGAAACCUGGAGAGAAGAAGAGUUGCCGGGAUAGAGCGUAAGUACAAGUCCAUUGUAAAAGAAAAAAAGAACUUAUUUGAGUCAUAGGAGCUAAUAAAGUCGUUUAUGAACGAUGAAUAAGGGGAAAGGACAGAGAACCAGUGUGCUGUUGCAUGAGAGUUUUUGAUGAGAUAAAAUAAUUCAUGGGUGAGUAUCGGGAAAUCAGUGCAUGAUGACGACUCGCAUAACAAAUAACAAUAAAAGGGCAAUGAUAAAUGAGAAGUGAAUAUUUGUUAGUGCUUUUUAAACACUUGGUCAAAUCAAAUUUAAUAUUUGUAUCUUCUUAUCUAGACCAAAUCAAUUUUUCGUCACUUUUAAUGUGUAUCGAUGAAUUAGGGAUUCUGUCUGCUGGCAGACUAAAUGCUCUGUUAUAUUAAACCUGGACAUUAAACUCUCUGAAAGUCAAAUCUAAUAAACGAAGUACUCUUAUAAGCAAAUAGUAGAAAGUUGCUAUUGGUUUGUAAGUAAACUUAUUUAAAAAAGAAUAUCACAGAAUGAUUUUUACUUGCAGAUUAGGUUCUUAAUAUUCGACUAAGAUUGAAUCAUAACUAUUGGCAUGAUAUAUACUGAUCUCUAAAUUUGUUGAGAUCGCAUCAAACAAUUUUCACUUGGAGAUUAGGUGCUUAACACUUGACUAAGGUCGAACCAUAACUAUUGGCAUAAUAUAUUUUGAUCUCUAAAUUUGUUGAGAUCGCAUCAAACAGUUUUCACUUGGAGAUUAGGCACUUAAUUAACACUAGACUAAGAUCGAACCAUAGCUAUUGGCAUGAUAUAUACUGAUCUAUAAAUUUAUGGAGAUCGCAUCAAACAAUUUUGAGUUGGAGAUUAAUACUGUCACGCCCCGAGCCCGCCUAUUUGGUCGGUUUCGGGCACGCCGACAGACCGCCGAACGGACAGGGUUUUUCCUGUACCGCGGACAGUCUCCCCUGUACAUUCAAGGCGUCGCAAUCAAUACAAUGUACAAAGUUCCAACCAGGAACACAUUUCAAUCAAGGAUUGCAUAAGGAAGUAUCAAAAACAUAAUCUACUUGCUAUUACAAGCAUUCACAUUCACUAGAUACAUUUUACAUCACAAUUACUUAUUACAUUAAACUUCCAAAUACAAUCUAGCUUUUAUUACAAAUUAUUAUAAUUUGAUUCUUUUCAUUUUCUUACAUCCCUAAGUAAAGGCCGACUCAGGGUACCGCUAUCUCUGGUCUCGGUGGUAGGGCGUUAACUAUGGAGAUACGCCCUCGCCUCGCGCCGCCGCGGCGCUCACGUGUGAACCUGUAAUACCCCAAAACCACGUGGAGUGAGAACCAACUCCAUGGUUCCCAGUGGGUACGACCACCCAAGAGAAAAGCUCGACCAAUAGGUCCAAGGGAGGCAACUGCAAGUUAGUUCAAUAAACAGAUAGAUAUAUAUCUUGAUUAUGCAACAAAUGAAACCAUGCAUUGCCUCACGAAUGCAAUAUGAAGAUCAUGCAAUGAUGCGACUAUACAAUCAACUAGUAAUUCAAUCGAUUACUACUUUCAUCCAAUUGACAUUUAAGGUUUUCUGUCAUUUACCAUUUUAAUCAUAAAGUUUUCAUCUAUCUUUACAAAGCUAACCGCCCGACUCGGUCUUGAGUCAAUCGUCUGCAGAGUACCGCACAAAGCCAGGCCCAAGGCGAAGGACGUCUCACUUGCACCUCGGCCUUAAAUCCCCUCAACUAGGACAUCACUAUAGCUCAUAAGUUUAUUACCCAAUCACUUGGCUAACCCAAAGGUUUCGCCCUCAACAAACUCACCAACACCAAAAUCUCAUUAACCGGGGAGAUACCCGCUACAACCCGGUGGGACCGGUCCUCUGGGAGAUAACCGCUACAACCCAGUGAUGUCGACUCCGGAGCACAUCGCCCGAGGGGGAGCUACCGCAACCUCGAGCAAGGACUAAAGGUGAGUAUGAAAAUGAUCAAAUCCAAAAUCUUGAGGAUGUCAGUUCAAUCCAUUCCUUAACUUUAGGAAGACUAUGCUCAAAUGACCUCAACUCUAGGGUUGAAAUGUCAUAAUAUUUCCAUCAUUCCUUUCUUUACAUUCUUUACUAUCACUUGUGUCAUAUACACUACUAUAUUCUUGGACUCAUGCCACACUUGUUUUCUAAGUGUUCAACAUGCCAUAAGUGUUUCCACUAUACUAAUCAUAUGCCACUCGAUCUAAUAUAUAUAGAUUGUCCACGUCACAUAUCAUAGUUCAUAUGUCAUUAUUUUUCAAUGUCGAGUUCUCUAAUUCACCUAGAGUUUAUCGACCCAAGUUCAACAUGCAUGUGUCAUUUAACAUAAUCCACAAUAUGUCAAUAUACAUUCAUCUAGUAUAUUCUACAAUAAAUCAACAUGCACUCAUUCAUCAUAUUCCACAAUAUGUCUACAUAUAUAGCCAACCAUCCAUAUGCCAUCCAACAUGUUCCAUAAUUUAUCAACAUGCAUAUUACCUCUAACAUAUAUAUUACUAUAAACAUUAUUUAUGCAUUCAUGUAACAAUUAACUCAUACAUUCAUUUAGCAUUAUGUAACUUGCAUCAUAUCAUUACGCAUUUCUACUUGGCAUUUACAUUAACAUGCAUCAUUUUCAUGCUUCAUUUACAUUCAUAUGCAUCAACAUGAAUUCUUAAUUUGCUUAGACAUAAAGGCGACCUAGUCGCUUCGGUAAGCACAACCCACCUUAACUCGCGUUCCGAUCGCUUGUAGUCACUUGCAAUCGGCCUCCGCGGCACCCGUGACCCGGUUUGGCCCGAACUCUGUGCGACCACCCGAACGGCCACCAAUCCGCGAUCCGUCUGUUCGGAGUUUAUUCCCGUUACCACGAUGCUCCAGAUCCAUUUUAAUGAUUUUGGGCGUCUAUCCCGCGUGCUGCGGCUAUCUGUACACAAACAAGACCGUUUCGUCAAUAACUUCACGUACACUCCGUUGGAUUGUCGAACCGAGCGCACCAACGCGUUCGUUAUACCCCCAAUUAGAUUUCUACAAUGUUAAUUUACCUCGGAAACACCCGGAGGCAAAAGCCCCAAAUUUGGUGCCCUAACAAUGCAUAAUGAGAUUUCUUGGGAUUGAUCUUGUUGCUAAGCAUAAUCAAGCGUAGAACCACCCAAGAAACUCUCUAAUAUCAUCUCCAACCUAAUUGGACCAACCCUAUGGCAUCUAACACAAACCUAGGUGAUCACCAUGAGAGCGCCCUAAGCUUCCAUAGAUUUUCAUGGAGCACAAGCCUCUAGAGAGGUUCUAGUCUUACAAGAAGUCCAAAACACUAAAUCUUAGGAUAUAAAUCUAAACCCUAGAAGUAUUCUUGCGAAAUAACUUACCUUAGCCUAAGCUCUUCCAAGUCCACCAUGAAGGAGAGCUUCUUGAUCCUCCAAAACCCUCAAAAUCCACCUUCAAGACCUUCUUCUUCUUCUCUUUAAGCUUUGGUGGAGAGCUUUUAGAGAGAGAAGGGGAGAAGAAAUAAGGGAGAGAGGUGUUUGCUGCUGUGAAGGGGUGUUUGGGAACAUAUGGAGUGUGCCACAAUUGCAAAUAAGCCCCCCAACUAUUUUUAUUUGCAGUAGACUUCAUUGUGCUGUCGGGUCCCCCGCGUACCGGUACACGGGCUGGUGUCACCGGUACACGACUCGCGCAACAGCCAAACCCGAGGGCCAUCUUCUCGGAUUUUACACUGCGUACCGGUACACGAAAUCCUGUCACCGGUACACAGCUCUUUUUUCAGGACUUAGCCAAUUUUUCAGCAUUUUCACCGUUUUCGCUCCGUUUUCGCUCGUUUUCGCUCGUUUGACAUCCGAUUCGUUUCAAAUCGAACCGAAACUCUCCAAAUAUGUUUUCAAGCAUGUUUUCAUCAUCUUUUCAUCCACGCUAAUGCUGGAUUUAGUCCAUGGUCCAACAUAGCCUUUCGGGUUCCGUUUUCGCACCUACGCGCACCGAAACGCCCGAUUGCUCCAGAACUUUACCGAACUCCACCGGGACCAUUCAAAUGGCUUUUCAACCAAAUGUACACCGUAACUUAAAACUUUUAGAAGUUCGGUAUGUUACAAAUACUUACCAUUCAACUAAGAUUCAAAUAUAACUAUUGAAACAUCAAACAAUAUUCCACCUUACUUAAUAUUUCAAAUUAUAUUAAGUAAUCAUUGAGAAAUAUUUCAAAUUAUUUUCAAAAAAUCAUUCAGAACUUUGUUUUGCUCCAAAAUAUUUCAAAUUAUAUCAUAUAACACCAGAGAAUAAAAUUCAAAAAUUCCAAACACAUCUAUCCAAAAAAAAAAAGGGGGUAAGAUCAAAACUUUCAAACAUUAUUAGAUGGUCAUCGUAAAACACAGCAUCAUGCAUUGCAUGUUAGUGUGGAUCAAAAGCAAUAAAACACAUUCAAAAGAGACGAGCGAAGGAGAAGAAUUUUGGUCAAACUAUUUUUUAUCUCUGAUCUCGGUGGUCUCAUGACUCCUCCCACUGGUUCCUAAAACUACACAACUCCCUCUGUAUAGGUUUGUUUUACUUCUGUGCCUAUGUAGAUUUUUCACUACGCUUUACCAAUUUUGUUUUAAGUGCAUUACAUGGGGAUAGCUCCAUAUUAUUCUUCAGCACACAAAAAAAAAAAAAGUUUGGUUAUCGACUUCAAGUACAUAAAAGAGCCUUCACGGAAACUUUUUGCUCUUUUCUUCUCUUCAGGAAUAAGAGAGUGGUCAUCAAGUUUAGCAUUCCCUUUCAAAAUGUAAAUAAACAGUUCAUUUAUUAUAUCAUUAUUGCACCUAAUGUAUUGUAUACUCUUAAGCCAUGACAAGGCAUCAUUUUCAAAAGCACCGAUUAGUUAAAUCCUAUUCCAAGAAACACACUCCCACUCUCAUUCGAAUUGCCACAUCCGAGUUAUAUUUACCACAAUCCUAAGGCCAUUGUCUCACUUUUAAUUAUGCCACUACCCGUGCUUCUUGAAAUUUUUCAUAAUUAUAGUAGUUUUAUACAUGUAAAAGAAAAGUUAGAAAUAAGGAACUAUUUUGGCAGAGACAUAUAAGUGAAAAUAAAAAACAAUCAAUUUCAACAAAAAGAGGUUGCUAAGAUAGCAUACCACAGGCCAAUCGUCCACCAGCAUUUCCAGUCGUAAGGCUAAGCUCAUGGCCCCCUGUGACAAGAGGCGUCCAAAGAACAAAACUUCAAAUAAGAACUCAAUAAAAAUGGACAAUGUGAACUAUGUAAUUAAAACAGAUGUAUGCUUUUCCCGAGAUCAUCCUCAAGCUCGUGAACCACAAAGGCUCUUCCAACAACUAAAUUUGGUUCACUCAAAGGAAUCUAAGGUUUAAAAUGAAUAACAAACAAUCUUCCUUUCUAGAAAUAAAAUUGAUAAGAUUGAGCAAGCCAUUGAACAAAACUUCAUUAGAGAACUUCUACUUAAGGAGGAUGGCAGUGGACCGUCAGAUCACAUUUUAUUCGCUUUGAGAUUCGCAUAAAUCAUUAUCUAGCAAUUCACACAGAGUGACAGAGCCCUCCUCACUAAGAGCUCGGAGCUCCACACCACAAUGAACUAACUUCUGCUUUAAUAUAUACAAAAAUUAAAAAAUAAAAAUAUCACAUAUCAAAAGCAAGAAAUAAAUAUAUUAAGCUAAUGCAAAUGUAUACUCACACGAUCAUAGAAACAUGUAAUCGCAACAACAACAACAAAAAUAAUGAUGAUGAUGAUGAUAAUGUUUGAAGUUAAUAAUAAAAUGAAUUGAAUUAAACCUUAAACGAGGGCGUAGAGGUCGGGGGCAAAGGAGAACCAGCGGAAGCCGCAGCUCCACUUAUCGCGGAGGAGCGGGCAGCGUAGGAGCCAGUGCCACGUGGCGCGGCCGACGCGGAAGAGCAGCACCCGUCUCACUCCUCAGAACCCUCGCCUUCUCCGCCGUCAACCUCCCCCUCUCCCUCUCCGCCGCCACCUCCUCCGCCGCCACCUCCUCCGCCGCCGCCGCAGCGCCGUCGCCGCAGCACCGCCGCCUCCUCCGGCCACGUCGCCGACGAUCGGCCGAAACAGCGGCGACCACACGAAGAUCGCCUCCUCGGCUCCGGCGACGGCGACGGCAACGGAUUCGCCGUGGCGGCGAUCGGGGCGGGGCGGCUAGAGCGGCGGAGCGCCGCCGCGCGGAGGGGAGCGGCGGAAGGGAGGAGAGGGACGCCAUGGAUAGGAUCUGAGAAUUAGGGCUUGGAUUCGAUCAGAUCGGAGGGAUUAGAGGAGGUGGAUAUUAGGGUUUGGAUCGGAUCUGAUCGAAUCGGAGGGAGUAGAUGAUGGAGAGAGAGAGGGAGAGAGAGAGAGAAAGAGAGAGAGAGAUGAAGAGCUCAGAGAUGGAGAUCGAUCGAGCUCGAAGCUCACGGUGCGUGGAGAUGGAGCUCGAAGCUCGGAUUUGAAAAAAAGAAAAAGGAAAGGUAGAGAACGGUCGUUUCUUUUGAAUUUUAUAAUUUGAUUGUAUAUGCUUCCUAUAUAUUGGUAGAGAGAGAGAGAGAGAAAGAGCUCAGAAUCUAAUUAAUUAGUGUGUAACUCCUACCAACAAUUGGGCCCAAUGCUCUCGUGAUCAAGACUAGGAUCAGAUGGAGGUCCCUUGCUUUUCAAACUUAAUGUUGGCCCAAGUAUUGACCCAAUUGAUAAAAUAAGCUAAUAAAAUAGGGCCCAAUAUUAUUUAUAUAGUUAAAAAUUAGUAACAACUAUACCAGCGGUUUACUAAAUGUUACUGAAAAAAUAAAAAACACUGGUAUAAUAUAGUUUUAGCAGCAGUUAGCUUAACUGCUGGCUAAAAAACCGCUAGAACAAACCAUAUUUGUUGUAGUGACCACAGGUAGUUCUUUUAUCCUAAUUAUGUUGUAUACUUUGUGAUAUUAGUAAAAAUUUUUAUAUCAAUAUUUGUAUUCUCUUUCUGUUCAUACUCUCUCUUUUUAAUUUAGUUCAAAAUGAUAUCUCUUUUAUAUAUUAUGUCUCUUAAGACUCUUUUUGUCAAGUGUAAUUAGAAAUUUCGUCUCAAAUGCAACUUAAAAAUGCUUGUAUAUUUAUCUAAUUUUGCCGAUUCGACUAGCAUUUGCAACCAUGUAGUUCCAAUAACUACAAUAUAUCUAAAGAUGACAUUUUCAAGUCUAAAGCAAUAGUAAAGAAAGAAAGUAGCAUAACUAAGAAAAUAAACUUGCAUAUUUAUAAUAUUCAAACAUAAUGUUGACUAACUAUAUUAGACAAUUUUGUUACAGGCACAUCGAGCUAAAGAUAUUGUGAAGAAUUUUCUUAUCCCAUCAGAUGCUCAGGUUAUCUUCUAGAUUUUUUCAUUAUUGCUCUUUUUGUUGUUUUUAUAUAUUUCUUUUAUCAAAACAUAUGAAAUAUUUGAUUUGUUUCUUUGUUGAUUGAAGGGUGGAAAUGAAGUAUACUUGAAAAGUUUAAAAAAACCUCAUGGUAACGUGGCACGAGGUUACAUAUUAAGUAAGGAUCCCAUGACGAAAGUUGGAGGAGUCGAGUUAGGACCACAAUAUUGGGAGGUUCAAAUAGACGUAGCAAUACUUCACAAUGAGCCAUUAUUAAGACCUUAUGGAAAUUAUUUGACCAUUGGAGAUGCCGUAGGUGUAACGGUGGCUUGGCCAUAUACCUAUGUAUGCACAAAAUACUAAUUUUUCUUUUAAAUUUUCUUACUAUAUUUUAUAACUUUGCAAAUCAAAUUUUAAUUUUGUAUACUCUUUUGUACAGGUUAAGCGCAAGUAAAGCUGAAUGCACAUGAGAAGUUCAAAUUGAAGAAAUGUUCGUGAAGCAAUUUAAGCUUUCAUUUUGUUAUGAUAGUAUUUAUACUACUAUAUAUCAUUUUGUUAGAUACCUUUUGUAUUAAAACAUUUGUAAUAUUUUUGGAUAUUUAAUGUAUCAAACAGUUUUGUGAUGUUUUUGGAUACCUAAUGGUUUUGGAUAUCAUUUUAUAGAUAUUGUUCUUCAAAUAAUUGCAUUAUAUUUAUGAAUUAGAAUUUUGAUUGAUAUCUAUCAUUUGAAUUGUUUUCUUAUUUGGUGUGAAUGAGUUUUAUACAUUGUGAUUAAUAAACUUGAUCAAAAAUUAAUAAUAAUUUAAUUAAAUUAAUUUAAAUACUAUAAUUAUCAAUUAUAUAAUAAAUUUUAAAUUAAAUUAGGAGGAUUUAUUAAUGCAUAAUUAAUUAUAAUACAUAUAUAAUUAUUUUGAAAAUGUCAUAUGAAAUUUAUCUAUAGCAACAUUUAUUAAGUGUUGCUAAUUACUCAAAACUAGCAACAAUUUUUCUAUAUGUUGCUAAAUGAUUCAGCAAUAUGGGCAUAAACAACACUAAACUUUAAAUAUUGCUAAAAGAUCUAGAUGCAUUUCUUGCACAUAUAGCAAACUUUAUAUAUGCCACCAAUUGUAAAUUUUUGUAGUGGUUUGUGCUCGAUAGCAUAGCAAUCGCGGGUUCUCUCUUUCUCUCUUCUCUCUCUCUCAUCAUUCUUCUUCUCCUUCAUUUUCUUCUCUAUAUAUUAUAUAUUACACAUAUGUGAACCCCAAUAGUCCCACAUCGGAUGGGAAUGGGGUGUCCCCAAUAGUCCCACAUCGGAUAGGAAUGGGGUUGUCCCCAAUAGUCCCACAUCGGAUAGGAAUGGGGUUAUCAUUGGAUUAUAAGAGACUUAGACACUAGUAAUAAUAACUGAGCUUAAGCAUUUUGGGCUUUGGUUGGGCCCAACGAGUAUUAUUGCUAGUGGGCUGGUCGUUACAUUUGUAUCAGAGCCGGUUCACCAGCUGGACAGUGGUGGCGAGUCUAGGCUGAGCCAGGUCUGGAUGACGAGCUAGCGAGACGAGUCUCACAUCGCCUGGUGAUCUUGGGCUGUGUGGUGAUUGGACUGAGGAGGACGUCAGGGCCUUAACGGGGGGAGUCUGUGACACCCCAAUAGUCCCACAUCGGAUGGGAAUAGGUUGUCCCCAAUAGUCCCACAUCGGAUAGGAAUGGGGUUGUCAUUGAAUUAUAAGAGACUUAGACACUAGUAAUAAUAACUGGGCUUAAGCAUUUUGGGCUGUGGUUGGGCCCAACGAGUUAUUAUUGCUAGUGGGCUGGGUCGUUACAUUUCUGUGACGCCCCAACUUUCUCAGGGGUCACCAUCCUAGGACUACUCCCGUCCUAGCACGCUUAACUCUCUU